UCAACCAAAUAAAGCAAAUUCGAAUGGAUGAUGAUGAUGAUGAUCACGAUGACAACGACCAUGAUGGUAAUAGUAAAAAAUUAUAAUUAGGCUAAUUAUUAUCUGAUCGGUUACAGAUCAGGAAACAAUGAGACCUAUAUCAAGUCUCACUAAUUGGACAACCAAAAAGUGCACCUAAAAAAAUUAAAAAUUAAAAAGGAGUGUAUUGCACGUUCUUCAAGCUGUCGAGCACCAGUCUUGCCUCGUCUAUUCGAUUCCUACUUCGGCUAUAUUCAAGCUCUUCCUUAUGUCGUCUAUUCGAUUCCCACUUCGGCUUAAAAGCAUGCACCUUUACAACUCAAUCCUUCGGCUGCUCUGACCCGAUUCCAAUCUUGUGGUGCCGAACCCGGUCGGAGCUCCGCACCGUCCCCGAUGACCCGCCACUGACGAACCUCCGUCCUUCCUUCUCCUUGAACUCGAGCUGCUCUCGAGCGCAGCACUGGCCUUGAUGGCGAGCGAGCAGAGCUCUUGGAGAGAGAGAGGGGCUCGCGACAUGGAGAGAGGCAAGAGGAAAUAGAGUUGGCCCAGAUGUAGGUCUUCUUUUUCCUGAAUCUGAGGGGCUAUGGAGUCGAUGAACAUGGAGUCUGAGCUGCAGAGGAAGCAGUUAGGGUUUUGGGAGAGGAAGUGAGAGGCCUUCAUGGUUUCAGUGAACUCUUCCAGCCUUCCAUCCACGUGAAUGAGCUUGAGCAUGGAUGGAUAUGAUGAUGACCCGUUAUGGUGAUGGGUGGUCAUGGCGAGGCCGCCAUUUCUGGUGAUCUGAGGAGCUGCACAGUUGCCCAUUCUAUGAGUAUGAGAGAGAGAGAGAGAGAGAGAGAGAGAGAUUGGUGUUUGCUUGGCGAAUAUGCUUGAAAUGGGUAGGUAUUAAUAGGGGGAUUAAGGCGCGUUUGACCCACUUUUGACCCUCAACGGUUUGAUUUAUUACCAGUUCCAUGUCAUCCAAGGACGUGUUUAUUCAUUCCGCGUGUGCCAUAAAUGAGAAUUAUUGGUAAUUGGUUGCAUAUUAUGUAAUUCGCACAUGGGCUUGCCAAUAGCAGAAAUUCCCUCAGGAAAAGCAGUGCCGAGGGUUUCGAUCGAAGGACAAUUAUUACGAUACUUCUUGUAAUAAUUGCCUAAAAUCCCCCCUUCUCCCCCUCACUCUUAAACCUUGAAAAGUUAUAGAUUAUCUCCUCCCAUUUUGGCACUUGUUGCCCUCUAGCCCCGAACUUUGGAAAUUUACAUACCAUCCCCCUAAAUUUUAUGCUUCGUUGAGCUUAGCCGUUCGGCUGAUUGAGAUUUUGUAUUGGCGGGCAUGUGAGAAUUUGUGAGUUUUGGAUUUGGUGGGGUUUAGGUUGAAGAAGAAGAUGAUGAUGGUGAUCGCGGCUGCGGGGGAGAGAGAGGGAACAUUGAAAAAAGAAAAAUAAAAUGCCAAUUAAAGGACAUCACUAAGUUUCUAAUGAUAUUAAUGCCAGGUCAGCAAUUCUAUCACAGGAACGAGUAGGAUGACAAUUUUAAGAAGCAUUGGGAUGAUUUAGAAUAAUAAUAAAAAGACGGUAGAAGAAUGGUUUUGAUUUCUUAAUUAAGGUAAAUGUAUCAAUAGUUCACCUUAUCGAAUUCGCUAAAUCCUUCCUGGCAUACUAAUCCCUCUAGGGCACUCGGAGGAAUUAUAAAAAGGUUAAUACCACGAAAAACUACAAAUUCACAUAUUUAUGAUAAAUUUAUUUCAAAACUAAUUUUUUAAUCACAAAUUAAUAUACUUGUAAUAAGUUGACCAUUUAUUAAUUUACGUUAAAUUUUAUUAUCAGAUUACUUAAUUAAUUAAUAUGAAGCAAUUAAAUAGUGUAGCAGUUUGGGGUUUUGACCUCAAUUUUCCAUAAAUAUAUUGAUUUGCUAUAUUAAUUAAAUUUAAUAGAAAUUAAUGAAAAAUAAAUUUAUCACAAAUAUAUUAAUUUGAGUUUUUUUAUAGUAAAAAAAUUAGUUAUGGAUAAGUUUAUCAUAAGUGCACCGAUUUGAAAUAUUUUAUAAUUAAAAAUUAAUUGAUAGAUAAAUUUAUCCUAUCUAUAUUAUUUUAGAGUGUUUUAUGGUAUUAAUUUAAUAUAAAAAUGUCAAGUCACGUCAAAUACCGAGAAUACGCCGACGAAGAAAAUUCCUGAUCACUCGGCAUUGCCCCAAAAGAAAAAGAAAGAUAAAAAGUGAGUCACUCGGAUUCCCAUGUGCAAUUAGGCGAAAGACACGACACGACACAAGAGGUUGUCCCAAGCCUUUGUUUCUUUCCCGUGCAUUGCAAUGCAAUUCCCAGGAAGCAACCAAUAUGCGGGACCCACGUUGAAAUAGGGGCACUUUUGACUUGGCGACGUGUGCAUGAAGGCUUUGCUUUGCCUUGUAGUCCGACUCCAAUUAUUAGGGUGUAAAAUCGAGCUGGAUAUACCUAGUUCCUGAACCAGUUCACUCGGAAGAUAAGGUCGGAACCGAUUUCAAUUUAAACCAGUCUAGAAACCGGUUCGCAAAAUUCGAAACUAGUUUAAAAUAGGUCUAGAAGCAUUUCUAGCCGAAAAGAAAAAUGUCUACAAGCAGCCGAUAUUGAAUGAUUUAAAAGAUUUGUCAGCAUAGCAUGCCGUGGACCGAAGCCUACCUCACUUGACUUUGUUUCGUUCAAAGUGAAAAAAAAACAAUAGAACUCAAAAAACAGUUGAUAUGUAUUUUGGGAAAAUCACCGCAUUCAUUGAAGUGAUAUUUCACUUAAAUUCUACCUUAGACUUUUUUAGUGCAUAUAUAUAUAUAUAUAUAUAUAGGGAGAUGACAUUACACAUGACAAGUGAAAUAAAUUGGGACAGAAUAUAAUUUCGAUAAUACAUUAGAAUGUUUAACUUAAGAGUUUGAAUUUAUAGAUGGGGGAAAUCACAUGAAUAUAAAGAACUUCUAAACCCCAUAAAUAAGCUAAACAAAUUUAACAAUAACCAUACAUAUAGAAAAGCGGAACUAAGUAGCAGACAAUUAUUAUUGUGACAUAGACAUCAUACUUAUCAAGAUAUAAUGGGAACAAUUGAUAUAUAUUAUGGGAAAAUGGUCACAUUCAUUAAAGUGAUGUGAUAUUUCACUUAAAUUCUACCUCAGACUUUUGGACAUGUGUGGAAAAGAUAUAUAUAUAUAUAUAUAGGGAGACGAUUAAACGUAAAAUUCAACAAAUGAGAAGGCUAUACAUGUGAAAUAAAUUGGGAUAGAACAUAGUUCUAAUACAAUGUUACAAUGUUUAAUCUGAAAGCUUAACCUUAUUGAUAGAGAAAAACCACUUAUAUGUAAAGAGCUUAUAAACUCCGUAAAUAAGUUAAAUGACUUGAAUAAUAACUAUACAUAUGGAAAAGUGGAACUAAGUGGUAGACAGUUAUCAUUGUGAUGUAAACAUCAUACUUAUGAAGGUAUAAUGGGAACAUUUGAGUGAGAUGAAAGGAAGGUAAGUAUUCCAUUAAUAAUAUAGAUCGAUGAAAGAUAUAUGGAUAAUGUCCAAUGAAUUCUUAUUUUUCAAAAUUUCCAGCUUACUAAUUUGUAUACUUGUUCAUCAAUUAUGAAAUGACAAACCAUAGAGCUCCAUGGCCAAAAGUGAAGGAAACAACAUAGCUCUCUAUCUAAUAUCUUCCACAAGUAGGUUAAUUAAAUUAGCUUUUCUUGAACACGUAUAUUUUCUUUUAGAGAAAUACAAUUCAAUAGCUAUAACUUGUGUGAUUUCAAAAAUGUGCUUAUGUGUCUCUCAAUAAGGCUACAAUUUAUUCUAUCAAGCUUUAAAUUAAGAGGAAAAAACAUUAAUCAACCAUCGUAGAAGCGAAAAAGAAGGUGGUUAACAUGAUUAACGUAUGAUGGGUAAAUUUUGCAUUUGCUAUUGUAAGUCUAAAUUUGAGAUUUGUGCGAUUGCCUAAUCAAACCAUCACACUUUAAACUCAAUUAGAUAGUAAUUUGAGAAUCAAUUAUCACAGCACUAGUGGUCUCUUUAAUUAGCUAUAUUAAACAUUAAUUCUUCACAUGAACCAAAUUGAGAAUGGAAGUUCUUAUUUUUUCAAUUUCCUCUUUUAUUGGCCAAAUCAUCAACUGUUCCCAGCCUCUGCAACCCCAUUCCUUAUCAUGGGCUAUAUAUCAUAGAAAGAUUAGUAGCUCUAGUCCUUUUCUUAAGCACUGCAUAUAAAAGUGAAGAUAUUCCCUCGUCUUAGGCUACAUAAAAAGUUCAAGAAAUGGAAUAUCACGAGAUCUUUUCAAGCUUCGCACGCUUUUACACCUCUCAUGUCCUUAUCACGACAUAUAUUGCUGGCUUCUAUCAUUAUUUUACCAUAUAAAGCUACUUUAAUCUAAAACAAUAGCAACAGCUACGACGACGACCACAACAAUAAUAAUAAUAGUUAUAAUGACUGUGAAUAAUGGUGAUAUUUAAUAAUUGAAAGAAUUUUUAAUAGGCUAAUCAUAAUCAGAUUGAUCACAAAUCUAAAAACAAUUAGACGAAUAUUAAGUGUCCCAAAAGAGAGUUGUUAAUUUUAGGACGACCAAAUAAAGAGUUGUUCACACAAAAAAAAAAAGNNNNNNNNNNNNNNNNNNNNNNNNNNNNNNNNNNNNNNNNNNNNNNNNNNNNNNNNNNNNNNNNNNNNNNNNNNNNNNNNNNNNNNNNNNNNNNNNNNNNUAGGUGUGUAGCUCACCAGUUCUUGAUCUAUUAUAUAUUUACCCUUUACCAAAAAAAAAAAGUAUAUAUCACUAUUGCUAAGAUUGUUUGAAAUUACAAGCCACCGUAUCAUUUUAGCGCUAUGUUCUUCUUCGCUGCUUCAUAAAAGCUGGUAUGAGGCGACUACCAGAAUUAUAAAGGGGAAAGCCACGGGAAAAGGAUCCAAAAGUACAAAAAAACUGCAAAUCCUCCGAGGGUAGUGAAAUGAUAAUCUAAAUAUGACCAUCAGAAAUUCAAAAUCUACAUGGUUGCUGGAGGGAAAUUCAUUCAAAUUAGUCUUGCUAAUAAGUCUUAAUUUCCUUGUGAAAAAGGUUUCAAACCUGUACAAAGGUCUUAAGCUUCACAUCGUCAGGUUCGACGUCGAAGAAAAUGGGCAGUAUCUUCUUGUUCCCCCCUUGAUCUAGAUGUGUCGUCCACGAUCCGCACGAGCUCACGGAGGCACCAUUUGCUGAAAGCAUAUGUUCUGGAGAAGAUUGGAAUGUACAGCUUGGAGUCGUCGAUCGCCCGCAGAAGCGCUCUGCCGAUCGUCUCUGAAGACGCGGACCCCAGCGUCAACCAAGGCGUGGUAGAGGGUGUCAGUGAACCCGCGGCGAGUGUCGGGCCCUCGAAAGCUCAGGAACACCUGGAAGCCGGCUCCUAGCGCAGUGGCGCCGCUACUCGUUCCGGCCGCCGAGGUGGGCAUUGGAGAUUCUUGGUCAGCAGCCACAGACGUCAUCAGUAUCCGCCCCCCCUCUCCCUCUAUUUGUUGUCACCCGACAAGAGGAUGGUCGGUUCGCAUGCCCAUGCUCGGAGCUGACACAAGCUUCGACAAAUCGAGGGAAAGCUGAAACCGACUGGGUUCUCUUCUUCGUACAAGCUUACCGGACAGCAGGUGAAGGUCUUCUUCUGUCACUCUCUUGUCUUUGCCAUGGCCAGAGGAUCCCACUUCAAUGACGUGUGCUUUGCUUACGAGUUAACGACUAAAGAAAGUGGACCAAAAUUCCCGAGUCCGUCGGACGAAAAUCGAAAGAAUCACCUUGUUUAAGCUCCGCUUAUUUCAUAAAUAAUAAAAUAUUCUAAAAUUAUUUUUUAUUCUCAAAACGAUUGCUCGUGUAUCUUAAAAUUUCAAAAAAUAGAGAAAUUACGGCAUUCGACAAAAUAAAUUGACCUUUUUGAUCCAUUUGAUCAAUUAUUUGACCAUCAUUAACCUAGUCUUAAUUUUUUUUUAUUACCAUUGGUAUCGAUAUCAAUUCAGGACUCGAUAUUGUCAUAUUAAAGAUAAAUAAAUGAAUAGAAAAUAUUUUAUCAUCCAUGAAUAUAUUUAGAUUUAUAUUAUUGACGAUAACAAAAAUAUUUUUUAUCGAUUAAUUAUUUUAAGUGAUAUGAGUAAUCGUUUUUAGAAAAAAAAAAUUCAAAUCACUUAUUUCCGUGAAAGAAUAUAAUUAGAUCUUUAAGCAAAGCUAAAAAAAGAAGCACAUAAAUAUUUUUCCAACACUAAUUAGGAACCUUUUGCUUGCGUAGCGAAAGAGACGUUAAUAUCAUCAAAUAAGAUUUUUAUUUUACCUUUUGUUUUGGAAGGCAAUUUCUGUAUUUGGCCACCCAUUGAGUGAAGAAAGGCAUAGAAACCACUAAGAAUUAACUACAGGGGCAACCAUCAAGAUAUAUCUAAUUCAGACUCCAUCACUACCAGCACGUCAUUAGGCCAAUAUCUAUUUCACGGGAUAGAAUCGUGCCCAAAGCGCGUGUCCUCCCAAAAGAACACCACGAUUUAUUGUUCCUUUUCCUGAUCCCAAAUCAUAAUCUUCUAAGACCUUGAUUUAUAAUUUUUGUUCCCUUAAAAAUUUUUGGAAUCAAGACUGACCUAGUAUUUCAUCCAAUUUAAUGGCAUCGUUGGAAGCAGCUUUUAAGGAGUUAAUUUAAAUCAUUCACAGAAGAUUUGAAUAUAGUUCUAAGUCGUUCCACAACUAAGGGUACUGAAAUGGAAUGAAUUAUGAAUCUCACACGUAGUAAAACAUGUAAAGGUUAAAUUCAAGAUUUAAAAAGGUUUUGUAUGGGAUUUUACAAAAUCCUAAUGCUAUUGGAUGGAUUUAAAGCCCCACUAAAAAUGAGAAGGCCCAAUAUAAUUCCAUCGGCUUGCUUUACUCGUUUUGAGCAAAGCCCAAACGUCAUUUUAAAAACAUUAAGACAAUGGGCCUCUCUUACACAUACAAAGGUCCAAUGCAAUUUUAAUGCUUUCGCACAAGAAAGCCCAAUUGCAGUUUAUGAACACGAUGAAAACUUUUUUCUUUUCAAAAUUCUUUUAUCUCGGGCUGAUGCUGACGUGUACAUUAUGUUAGUGAAACGCGACAGAAGCUUUGGGAGCUAGGUUGUGGGACAAAAUUUUAGCAUUUGACUUGUAUGAAAACGAAAAAUCCGAUGGUGGUGAUGGUUUUUCAAAAGGAGUGAUGAAAGAAAACAUGUCUCGUAAUAGGCUAAUGAUGUGUGUGCUUACAUGGCAAAUAUGUGUUGAGAAAACUCCUAUUAGAUUUUGAAGUUAACAAAAUUUUCUUUCUUCUCAUUCUUGUUAUUAUUCUGAAGAAUACUAGACUUUUGUGCUAUAUCGUGGAAUUUUGACAAACUCUAUCUACUCUAGAAGUCUUUUCCACUCUGACGAGAUCCAGACGGAAACCAAGUUCAAAACAAAGAUAUAAUCAGACUCGAGAAUAUUGAUCUCUUGACAAAAUUUCAGUACGAACGAAAUUUAUCCUUAAUAUCUGACUUUCUGGCGAAGAAUCUCACUUGUCUUUUAUAAAUAUAUUGAUGGAAUCAAUCACGAAUUGAUGAAAUCAAUUCUGAAGAUAAGUUCCUUUUUAGGAAGCAUCUACUUAUGGAAACCUAGAUCUGAUUGUAUGGGCAACCAGAAUCAUCGGAUUUUCAUCUCAAUCUUCAAACAGUUACAAAAUUUCCUUAAUCGAUUAUGUCCAAUGGAUUGCUUGAAAGAAAUUCCUCUGGAGAAUGCCAACGGUUAGAAAGACAUAGAGGAGUAUUUAAGGAGGUCAUUCAGUCCAUUUUGGAUAAUGCGUGAAAAUUAAAAUUCCAAAGUUUGAGACAUUUUCAAUCACUUAUUCUUCAUCGACAAUGCUUACAAAUUGUAUUCAAAAGAGAAAAACACCAGAAAAGUGACUUAGUGAGAGAAAAAGAAAUCAUUCAUUGAGUGUUUGUACUCAAAUCGUUGUAUUUCUCUAUUGAUACCUUAAUGAAUUUCAGCCAGAAAAUUGUCAAUGUGGGAGAGUAGACGUAGGCUUGACUUAAGUCGAACUACUAUAAAUCUUGUGUUCAAUUUUUUUUCCCUUAACUCUUAUUGAUUUGUUCGUUACAAUCUUUUUCUGAACUUAUCAAAUUUCUAAACCUUCUCUAAUUAAGUCUGAAUUUACUUAAGAAGUCUGGUAGCACCUUUAGUCAGAAUUUGGUUGAAAUUUAACUCAUUAUGCAUUUAUUUGUUUAAAUUUGUUUUUACAUAUGUUCACCUCCUCUCUAGGUGGUAAUACUAGCAUUUUUAAUUGAUAUCAGAGCUGCGGUACUUGUCUUAUUUAAGUGUUUUUACUUCUGAGUUAAAGAUCUUCUAUGACUAGUAUCUUGGUGCUAGGGCUUAUUGAAGGACAAAGCAAUAUCAGGCCACCCUACUUUGAUGGAAAAGAGUACAAUGUGUGGAAGAAUAAAAUGAAGACGUUUCUAAAAUCCAAAGACCCUAUGGAAUGAGAUGUUGUGGAAAGAAGAAUCAAUCCAAAGGCAACAUCAACUUCAGACAAGGGAAAACAAGUCAUAGAUAAAAAUGCUGAGGAUUCCAACUAAGUAGAAAUUACCAAGAAACAGGCUCUUGAUACUAAAGCUAUUUAUUUUUUAUACCGUGUCUUGUCUCCUACUGAAUAUAACAUAAUUUUUUCAUGUGAAACAGCUAAAGAAGUCUGGGAUAAGCUUUACGUCACUUAUAAAGGUACAUAUUGUGUAAAAGAGACAAAAAUAAACAUCUUAGUUGGCCAAUAUGAGUCCUUUAUAAUGAAAUUUGGAGAGUCUAUUGGAGAUAUGUUCACUCACUUUACGGAAAUUAUAAAUGGAUUGGCAUAUCAAGGUCAAUCAAUUUCUGCUCCAAUGAAUGUCAACAAAUUACUGAGAGGGCUUUCAAAGGACUGGAACCAUGUGAAGACAUCAAUUUGAGAGACGCAAAUGAUCAUGCCUCUUUUUGUUGAUGAGCCGAUAGGCAGGUGAUAGAAAUAUCUAUUUUCCUUUUGCAAAAUACAUCAAUAAUAUAUAUCUAAGAUUUAUGCUCAAGGAAAUCUCUUUGAUCUCGAAAGAUAUUAUUGCAUAUUUAUGGAUACUCUUGCUAUAUUCUUAUAAGAUAUAUUAUAUCUAGCAAGUUUGAUCCGCAAAUCAAAGGAAGAUAUUACGUAACUUUUUGCAAAGAUGAUUAUCCAAUUAUACAAGAUUUUGCAAGUGGCAAAAGAAUCUUCCAUAUGGAUUUUGGAAAGCUCGAUCUGAAAACUAUAAAGAUUCUAUACUAUCUUCUGGAGGCUCAAAGAUUCUAUUCCUUAUGCAAAUUUUUUGCUUAUUGAGGAAAUCCCUUAUGCGUUGUACGAAAGAUUGAGUAGUUUUGAAUUUUAAUUUCAUAUAUGAAUACUUUUAAUUUCAUAUAUGGUAUUCAAUUUAUUUAUUUAUUUGAAGAAAUGGGAUUAUAUAUUAUAUGGAUAUUAUUACAGCUUAUUUGUGCAAAAAGUUUGUUAAGUUGAUGCAGGUUGAAUUCGAGACGAGCUUAAUUGAAGAAAAUAAAAUUUUGCCUCGAAUUUCAAAAUGCAAAUGAUUGUUGCGGAUGUUGUCGCUACAAAGGAAAUACUGAAAAAUAUUUUGUUCAACUUGCGCAAACAAUUGUUUCUAUUCGCAAAUAUUGUCAUGAUCACAGGGGGAGAACGUGAAUCUAAAAGAAAGAAAAAAUCAUCAUCAUCUCAAAAAGGUAACAAAUUGAGGGGGAGCUUUGAUCAAUUAUGGAAAAAUCUUUUUGGAUUGAUCGUGAUCUUGUUAUGGAAAGAAGGAAAAGGUAAAUGCGUCAGAAUUUAAGUUCUACAAAAUCUGGUUAGUGCAUUUUAUAUUUUGUCAUUAACAAAUCUCUUAUUGAUCUUUUAUUAUAUUUUGUCAUUAACAAAUCUCUUAUUGAUAUUAUCAUUUUAUUAUGACAAAAAGGAUAAGUGAAUUUUAUAAUGCAUCUAUGAUUUUUAUUGGAUAUUUGCUGAUAUAUAUGAUCGAAGUAAGCUAUAUUGCAUAUCUUUAAUAUUCGAUUUACUUUAUAAAAGCUAAUUUUUGGAAAUUAUGCAAGACAUAUUUGUUAUCAUUUUAUAUUCUCUAUGUGAUACUUUUUCCAUUAUAAUUGCUUUUUGAUUAUGACAAAAAGGGGGAGAAGAUAUGAAUAUGCAUAUGUGUUGAUUGGUUGAUAUUAUUUAUUGCAUAAUAUUGAGCUGCGAUUAUUUUUCUAUAUAUUGUUAUGCUCAAUCUAUUUGCUAUCUUCAGAUAUCCUUUGAUUUAAAUUAAUAUUUUUAAAAGUAUGUUUACAAAUCUGCAUAUUCAGAGAUUGUUUUGUCAUCAUCAAAAAGGGGGAGAUUGUUAGGGAAAUCCCUAUGAUGUUUUGAAAAUGACAAAAUAAAUCAAAAGCUACUAACAUGUUUAAUGGUUAAGUAAUAGACCAUGCAAAUGAUAGAACAUAUAAAGGAUAUUGUCAAAGUCUGAAGACGGCCAAAAAACUGAACAUAACAUAUGUCCAAAGUAUAUUCUGAAGAUUUCCAGACUUCUGUGUUAAAGUCUGAAGAUUGCCAGACUUUAGUGUCAAAGUUUGUUCUACAUCAUAAGUCUGCCAACUCUGACAAAUUCCAAACUAAACGUGAAUGAAGAACCAGAAGAUAGACUAUAUGCUGAAGUUGAACUAGAAAACAGACUCUAUGCUGAAGCUAAACUUAUUCAGACUGUGUUCAGACUUUAAAACUAAAACUGUUCAAAAGCAUAAUAUGUUCAGACCCAGAUUGUGAAGUCUAUUGCACUCAGACUCAGAUUAUAAAGUCUAUUGCACUCAGACUCAGAUUGUAAAGACUAUUGCACUCAGACUUUACAUCCAGAUUCGACAAAACGUAACAUAAGCCCCAAUCAUAUAACGGUUAGUGAUCUAAUUUGGAUUCCACAUCAAGAUUGAUUUGAUUGACUCAAUCUAAUUGAUUGACGAUUGGAUCUUGAAGACAAGAACUUUUUAUACGAAGAAGCUUUACUUAUGGAAACCAAGAUUCUGUUUGUAUGGGCGAUCGGAAUUAAUUUGGGAUUCUACUUUUGUGACUUAACGGCUACCAAAUCUUCUAGAUAUAGAGCUGUCCAAUGGGUAGAUUGGAAGACGAUCCUCGAGAUACUAUCCAACGGCUAGUUUGGAAGUGGAGGAGUAUUUAAGGAGAUGAAGGACUGAUGAGCAAAUAAGAGACGGAGCGUAUAAUUUAUAAUUCCAAAGUCUGAGCGACCUUCGAUCAUACACUUGUCUUUGGUGAGCUUAAACAUUUGUGAUCAUGAAAGAAAUACCAAAAGAGUGACUUAGUGAGAUAGUGUGAUCUACUAAGUGUUUGCACUCAAAGUUGUAAUGUCUUGUUAAUUGCACAGCGGAAUCCAGCCAAGAAUGUUUAACUUAAGAGUUUGAAUUUAUAGACGGGGAAUAUCACGUGAAUAUAAAGAACUUCUACACCCCAUAAAUAAGCUAAACAAAUUUAACAAUAACCAUACAUAUAGAAAAGUGGAACUAAGUAGCAGGCAAUUAUUAUUGUGACAUAGACAUCAUACUUAUCAAGGUAUAAUGGGAACAAUUGAUAUAUAUUUUGGGAAAGUGGUCACAUUCAUUGAAGUGAUGUGAUAUUUCACUUAAAUUCUACCUUAGACUUUUGGACUUGUGCGAAAAUAUAUAUAUAUAUAUAUAUAUAUAUAUAUAGGGAGACAAUUACACGUAAAAUUCAACAAAUGAGAAGGCUUUACAUGCGGAAUAAAUUGGGAUAGAACAUAGUUCUAAUACGAUGUUACAAUGUUUAAUUUGAAAGCUUAAACUUAUUGAUACAGAAAAACCAAUUAUAUGGAAAGAGCUUAUAAACUCCGUAAAUAAGUUAAAUGACUUGGACGCUAUUCAGCGCAGAAAAGGGACAGCGUUCUUAACGGUCAAUCAUUCGAUACUUGCUCCAUUAUUGCUUGGCAUGGCCCAAGAAAAAGUUAAAGACGAAAGCAAUUUAUUCCAAUUUAUUCCAUUAUUGCUUGAGCGUACUAAUCUCGCUAGGGCUAGGGCACUUGGAUAAAAUAAGGCUGUACAUGAUAAAAUUUCCGUUUCUUGAUUUCUUUGUUUCUUUGUUCCCCAGAACAGGUUUGGAACAUAAAUCCGUUUGGUAACACAAUUUGAUUUCUCUAUUUCUGAAACAGAUUUAUAUUCCAUAAAUAGAUUUGUAGAAGAAAUUAGAAGCUAAAAUUUUUAGCUUCUCAGUUUCUAAAAUAGAAAUUGAGAAAUCAAUUUCUGUUUCAAAAAUUUUGUCAUGCACACCCUAAAAUUGCCAAGUCAUUUUAAAUACGCAAGGAUACGCUGAUGAAGAAAAUCCAUAAUUCACCGUACGUGAACAUGAUGUCAGGCAAUCAUUCAUUAUGUUCUCCAUUUUCUCUUGGCAUUGCCCAUAAAGAAAAGCAAGAUAAAAAGUAAUUCACUCGGAUUCUCAAGUGCGAUGAAAUAAAAGACACGACACAAAGGUUGUCCCGCGGUGGAUCUACAACGAAAUAAAGCCAUAGUGGGCGACAAAACAUGAUAAGACUCUCGGGAUAACAUAAAGAAUUUGCCUCAUUGAAGGGACCUGAAAUUUUGAUAUUUUAUGGCCGGUGAUCAACAAAGCCCAUCAAAUUUAAAUUAAGAUCAAGAUAUGUCAUUUUGCGUUAUUAAAGGCAGACGCUAAAUCUACGGUACGUUAAAUCCACGUGACCAAGAAAGCUUAGAGCGAUAUGGUUUUGUUAGGUCUCUAAGCAUUUCUGGCGAAAGAGAGUAAUGUCUAGAAGCACACCCGCAAAUGAAUAAUAAACGCAAUUUCUCAUGCGUGCUAUGGACGAAAAGCCCAUCCCGCUUGACGUCGUUCCGUUCAAAGUGAAAUAAUAAUCUUUGAAAACUGUAAAGCAAUAUAUAUGCGCGCGCGUGUGUUUGUUUUUUUAUUUAAUACCAUUAAAAAUCUUAAAUUGAUAUCCUAAUGACACAUAUAUCCCAAAUUAAUUCUCAGCUCAUAAAAAAAAAAUCUCAAACUAAUAUUACAUGACAUAUUAAUCUCCAAUUAAUAUCUUUUUUUUGGUAAAGAUCUCCAAUUAAUAUCCGUAUAACAAAAACUCUCAUAAUGUUAUCUCAUGAUUCAUUUACCCUAAAGUAGCUUUCAUCUCACAAAAAUCCCAAACUGUACCUGAGCCAAAUCUAACUUCCAUUAAGAUAUUUGCAUGUGUGUCAACACAUAUGAUAUUCGACAAAAAAAAAACACAUAUGAUAGAUGACGUAACACGGAUCUAAUGUGAAGAAUGAAUAUUUGACAUAGAUUGACGAUCGCAAGACGGUUUUGACAUGGAGAGUAAUAGAUUCAACAUGAAAAAUACACAUGGAUCAACAUGUACCCAUUUUAAGAGGAUAUCGGACAAAAUGCUAAUUGAGGGUAGAUUUUGGUUAGGGGUUUAAGUUUGGGCUUUUUUCUUUUUUUUUUGGUAAAAAUGAAAACUUAUUUAGGAUAAAAGUAUUAUGGGAUACCGAUUUUAGAUUUAUUUAUUUUAGACGAAAAUAAUUUACUUCGAUUCUACGUUAGACUUUUGGACUCCCUUGCAAAAACAGAAGGAAAAAAAAAAGAAUAGAAGAAGACGGAGAUGACAUUACAACUAUGAGUAGGGAGGGAUAACCACACGUUAAGAAAAAUGGAACUAAGUAGCAGACGGUUAUUAUUGCGAUGUCGAAGGGUAUGAUGGAAACAUUUGACUAAGCCAAAGGAAGGCGGGAUUUUCAUUACUAAUAUAUGUUAAAAUGUCCAAUUCAAAAAUUAAAAUUUAUCUGUAGAGAAAGAAUAUAUAUAUAUAUAUAUAAGCUCUAUAAAUAAGUGACAUGGGAUAUUUUAACAAUCCAUUUCACAUACACAUCGAAUUGAAAAUGGCACUUGAAAUUUAACAGGAAGCAUUAUAUGUGAAAUAAACUGAGAUAGAGCCUAAUUAUGUUAUCAUAUUAGAAUGUCUAAACAAAAGUUAAAAAUUAUCAUUGAGAGGGAUUACGUGUAAAUAAAAAACAUGUUAAUUAUUUAGAUAAGCAUCGGGGGAAUGCAUAAUGUACACUGAACACUCUUUUUGCAAAAUUUUCAGCUUACUAAUGUGUAUACUCGCUCAUGACUUAAAAUCGACCAACGAGAUAGGUCAAUGGCCAAAAUUUAAGAAAACGACAUUACUUGCUAUCAAGUAUCAUCCACCAGUAGGUUCAUUAUAUAGCUCUUCUGAACAUGUACAUUUAAUAUACAGAAAUACAGUUGAAUAGCUAAUAAUUGUGUGAUUUUGAAGAUCUGCUUAUGACAUGAUCAAGCGAAAAAAAAAAAAAAAGAAUUAUCAACUGUCGUAAUAGUACCAAAGAAGAUGGUUAAUAAAACUGACAAAUGAUGGUAAUUUUUCAAUUUCUCAGUCAAAAUUUGAGAUCUUAAUUCCUUACGGCUGUCUAAUCAUAUUGUCACACCUUGAAUUUAUUUAGAUACUAGUUCAAGAGUUGAUUAUCAUAGCACUAGCUAUCUCCUACGUUAUAAUUAGCUGUAAACAAUAAUUCUCCAUAUAAAUCAACCGUGGAUCGAUAUCAUUCAUCAUUCCCUAACUAUUUGUACACCCAUUCCUCGUCAUGGGCCAUGUAGCAUAGAAAGUUUAGCAUCCCUUUUUUCCCCUUCUUUUGGCACAUGCUUCAUAUAUUUUUUUAGUUCCGCCCAAGUACAAACAAAAGAUUAAGCACCUCCUAUUAAAAGGAAGAAAUUCCCUCGUCUUGGGCUCCAUAAAAAGCUCACGGAGUAACACGAGAUCUUUUGAAGACCGAUUAAAUACUACUCUACGUACGCUUUUGCAGCUCUCAUGUCCCUAUCACAACAUAUUUGCUGACUUCUAUCGUUAUUCAACCAAAUAAAGCAAAUUCGAAUAGAUGAUGAUGAUGAUGAUGAUGAUGAUCACGAUGACAACGACCAUGAUGGUAAUAGUAAAAAAUUAUAAUUAGGCUAAUUAUUAUCUGAUCGGUUACAGAUCAGGAAACAAUGAGACCUAUAUCAAGUCUCACUAAUUGGACAACCAAAAAGUGCACCUAAAAAAAAUUAAAAAUUAAAAAGGAGUGUAUUGCACGUUCUUCAAGCUCUCGAGCACCAGUCUUGCCUCGUCUAUUCGAUUCCUACUUCGGCUAUAUUCAAACUCUUCCUUAUGUCGUCUAUUCGAUUCCCACUUCGGCUUAAAAGCAUGCACCUUUACAACUCAAUCCUUCGGCUGCUCUGACCCGAUUCCAAUCUUGUGGUGCCGAACCCAGUCGGAGCUCCGCACCGUCCCCGAUGACCCGCCACUGCCGAACCUCCGUCCUUCCUUCUCCUUGAACUCGAGCUGCUCUCGAGCGCAGCACUGGCCUUGAUGGCGAGCGAGCAGAGCUCUUGGAGAGAGAGAGGGGCUCGCGACAUGGAGAGAGGCAAGAGGAAAUAGAGUUGGCCCAGAUGUAGGUCUUCUUUUUCCUGAAUCUGAGGGGCUAUGGAGUCGAUGAACAUGGAGUCUGAGCUGCAGAGGAAGCAGUUAGGGUUUUGGGAGAGGAAGUGAGAGGCCUUCAUGGUUUCAGUGAACUCUUCCAGCCUUCCAUCCACGUGAAUGAGCUUGAGCAUGGAUGGAUAUGAUGAUGACCCGUUAUGGUGAUGGGUGGUCAUGGCGAGGCCGCCACUUCUGGUGAUCUGGGGAGCUGCACAGUUGCCCAUUCUAUGAGAGAGAGAGAGAGAGAGAGAGAGAGAGAGAGAGAGAGAGAUAGAGAUUGGUGUUUGCUUGGCGAAUGUGCUUGAAAUGGGUAGGUAUUAAUAGGGGGAUUAAGGCGCGUUUGACCCACUUUUGACCCUCAACGGUUUGAUUUAUUACCAGUUCCAUGUCAUCCAAGGACGUGUUUAUUCAUUCCGCGUGUGCCAUAAAUGAGAAUUAUUGGUAAUUAGUUGCAUAUUAUGUAAUUCGCACAUGGGCUUGCCAAUAGAAGAAAUUCCCUCAGGAAAAGCAGUGCCGAGGGUUUCGAUCGAAGGACAAUUAUUACGAUACUUCUUGUAAUAAUUGCCCAAAAUCCCCCCUUAUAUAAUAACUCUUAAACCUUGAAAAGUUAUAGAUUAUCUCCUCCCAUUUUGGCACUUGUUGCCCUCUAGCCCCGAACUUUGGAAAUUUACAUACCACCCCCCUAAAUUUUAUGCUUCGUUGAGCUUAGCCGUUCGGCUGAUUGAGAUUUUGUAUUGGCGGGCAUGUGAGAGUUUGUGAGUUUUGGAUUUGGUGGGGUUUAGGUUGAAGAAGAAGAUGAUGAUGGUGAUCACGUUUGCGGGGGAGAGAGAGGGAACAUUGAAAAAAGAAAAAUAAAUGCCAAUUAAAGGACAUCACCAAGUUUCUAAUGAUAUUAAUGCCAAGUCAGCAAUUCUAUCACAGGAACGAGUAGGAUGACAAUUUCAAGAAGCAUUGGGAUGAUUUAGAAUAAUAAUGAUGAUGAUGAUGAUGAUGAUGAUGAUGAUGAUGAUAAUAAUGAUCAUCAUCAUCAUAAAAGGUAGAAGAAUGGUUUUGAUUUCUUAUUUAAGGUAAAGGCACCAGUGGUUCACCUUAUCAAAUCCGCUAAAUCCUUUUUGGCAUACUAACCCCUCUAGGGCACUCGGAGGAAAUAUAAAAAGGUUAAUACUAUUGACAUAUUUAUUUUAUUCCAAAACUAAUUUUUUAACCACAAAUUAAUAUACUUGUAAUAAGUUUAUCAUUUAUUAAUUUAUGUUAAAUUUUAUUAUCAAAUUACUUUAUUGAAUAAUAUGAAGCAGAUAAAUAGUGUAGGAGNNNNNNNNNNNNNNNNNNNNNNNNNNNNNNNNNNNNNNNNNNNNNNNNNNNNNNNNNNNNNNNNNNNNNNNNNNNNNNNNNNNNNNNNNNNNNNNNNNNNUUGAUGGUUUGGGUGAACUCUCGCAGUCAUCAGCUCCAUUCAAAUUUCUUGAGCGUGGAUGGAGAUGAUGACAUCUAACUAUGGCAAAAUAGUGGUCAUGGCAAGCCCACCAUUUCUUGUGAUCUGAGGAGCCGCACAGUUGCCCAUUUUAUAUCUUUUGGGGAGGGGGAGGUUGGUUUUGGGGGCGUGGGUGGGGUGGGAGAGAGAGAGAGAGAGAUUGAUGUUUGUUUGGCCAAGAUGUUUGACACGGGCAGGUAUUUAAUGGGGGAGUAUAGGCGUGUUUCAGAGUUUUGGAUUGACCAAUGACCCAACUUUUUGACCCUCAACAGUAUAAUUUGUACACGAAUACUUUUUUGGGUACUUUGUUCCAAAUCUCCUUGAACUUUACGUCCAUCGCACAAUAAAUUUUAAACCUUAGAAAAUGACACUUUAUCUCUUUCAACUUUAGCACCGUUGGCCCCAUAGCCCUCAGACUUUAGAUAGUUACGCAUUACUUUCCUAACCUUGAAGCUUCGUCGAGCUUGGCCAUGGCAGUCGAGAGUUUCUUCGAGCUCGCGGCUAUGGCCGCUCGGGAUUUAGCACUAGUGGGGUUGUUAGGUUUUAUGGGUUUUGAUGUCAGCAAAUUUCGUCGCUAGACCAACUGGAGAUGAUACUUUGAAGUACAUGGAUGAUUUCGAACCAAAAACAAAAGUAGAAGGGGAGUUUUAAUCUCUUGAUUAAGGUAAAGAGACCCAUAAUGAUAAUUUACUAAUUACUUCCGUUAAAUACUUUCAGUAAAUUAGAUCAUUGGAAAGAUAUUUUUGUUUGCUAAGUCUUUCAAAUACGUAAGGAUAUGCGAAUAAAGAAAAAUCAUAAUUCACCUUCAUAAGGCAGUGUCAUGAAAAAUUGAAAGUUGACGUGACUUUGUUAGUCAUUUGGUACGUUCUCCUUUAUUACUUAGCAUAUUCCAAAAAGGAAGAGAAAAAUGAAGUAAUUUACUCGGAUUACCAUGGGUGGUGAAAUGAAAAACACGAAACAAAAGUUGUCCCAGCGGUCGAUGUACAAAGAAUCAAAAGCCAUUAGCAGACGACAUGGCAAGACUGGCAUCCCAAGCCUUCCCUUUUGACCCUCAGAGGUUGCUGAAAGGUCCACGCAGUGCAAUUCUGAGGAAGCAACCCAUGCUUUUGAAAAUCUAGACUUGACUGAUGACGGGCAAAAUUCUCACGCAGCACUGCUGUUGGGAACUUAAAAUAUAGGGAUAUGUGCCUUAGGAGGUUUCACAGCUUCUCAUCAAAAUAUAAUUAAAUUUUAAAAAUUUCAAAAAAUAAAAUCAAAUUUUUUUAUUAACUCCAUUCAACUUGACUAACGAAAAAUAUCGAUAUAUAAAUUUAUUUCUAUCUUAUGUGGCAUUGACAUGACUAAGGGUGCGUUUGGGAAGGCUUUUGGGGAAAGUCUUUAGAAAAUUGCAAAAACCUUUAAAUUAAAAGUAUUUUCUAAAAUGCAAAGUGUGUUUGGUAAAUUGUAGUUUGAAAGCCCAUUUGAAGUACCUUUGAGCAAAAUGGUGUUUGGGGGAAUUACAUUUACAAAUGGCUUUAGUGAUAAAAAAAUUAUCAAAAGAAAAAUAAAUAAAAAAAUUGACCGACAAGGGCAGUGGCCGACAGACGUCCACUGAAGACCACCGGCGAGGGUCGCCGGACAUCGGGCGACCACUGAAGACCACCGGCGAGGGUCGCCGGACGUCGGGUGACCACUGAAGACCACCGACGAGGGUCGCUGAACGUCGGGCGACCACUGAAGAUCAUCACAGAGGGUCGCCGGACGUCGGGUGACCACUGAAGACCACCGACGAGGGUCGCUGAACGUUGGGCAACCAUUGAAGAUCAUCAUAGAGGGUCGCCGGACGUCGGGUGACCCGGCCGCAACCCAAAUCUAGGGCGGUGAGGUCCCCGCGACCUCGCUGCCCUAGAUCUGGGUCGUGGCGGGGUCACGCGACCUCGCCGCCCCCGGAUUUGGGUCGUGGCGAGGUCGGCGACCCAAACCUCGCCGCGACCCACGGCAAUCGCCGCGACCCAGCGACGGUCGCCUAGGCCACCGCAACCAUGCCGAGCCAUCGGCAGCCACUCACAGCUCAUCGAGCAACACAUCCUUCUUCCCCCGAGAAGAAGAUGAAUAGUACAAUGACGAGGGCAAAAUCGGAAAAAUCGAGAGUAAGUGAGGAUAGUUUUGGAAGAAAAUAAAGAAGAAAUGAACAGUCCACUUGUAUGCCGAGAAAGCUGAAAGCCCAAGGCACCCUCACACCUGCUUUGGGCUUUUAGCCUUGAGAAUGCCAGCUUUGGCCUANNNNNNNNNNNNNNNNNNNNNNNNNNNNNNNNNNNNNNNNNNNNNNNNNNNNNNNNNNNNNNNNNNNNNNNNNNNNNNNNNNNNNNNNNNNNNNNNNNNNNNNNNNNNNNNNNNNNNNNNNNNNNNNNNNNNNNNNNNNNNNNNNNNNNNNNNNNNNNNNNNNNNNNNNNNNNNNNNNNNNNNNNNNNNNNNNNNNNNNNNNNNNNNNNNNNNNNNNNNNNNNNNNNNNNNNNNNNNNNNNNNNNNNNNNNNNNNNNNNNNNNNNNNNNNNNUGAGAAAAGUUGACCAAAGUUCACAAUGAUUGUCUUCUCAGCUAUUUGAUCUCGAAGAGAACAUGGAUGUCAAGUUUAUGGCACUUUGUGCCAAGAUGCACUUUGACAGUAUGAAUAAGGCAAAGAUAAUAUCAACAUUUCUUAAAGUAUUUCAAUACAUUAAACUUGUUAGAAUUUUAAUUUUAAGUUAUGUCUCCAUCUAAUAGCUUGAACUUACAUGGUCCUGCAAUUUCAACAUGGUAUUAUUAGAGGUCCCGACAAACCUUUCGUGAGCCCCUCAAUCAUAGUCAAUUUCCACACCUCAAUCUUAGGUCAAAGUUUAGCCUAUGCAUGUGGGGUUGUUGAAACAUUUAAAUAGUAAAAUACUCCUUCACGUAAUAGCUUGAGCUUUUAGAUCAAUUAGCAGAAGUAUCCACAAUUUCCACCAAUAAAAAACCCACAUAAUAGGAUGCUUCUCCUAUUGUUCUGCAGUCCUGACGGCCCCCCCCCCAAAAAAAAUUAUUUUGCAGUCCUUACAGGAACCAAUGCAAAUGUUUUGAUAGAUCAUAUAACAAAAGUCAAAAAAUGUAAAAAGUAGUUGUUGCUUCUGGCCUGCACUUAUCUAGCUUUCCUCAACCAAGCAUAUGAAAGAUUAUUGAUACAUAGUAACUGAUAUAAGCUUCUUUUUGCAGCAUAAAUUUCAUGAUUACCUUGAUCACAAAAAAUCUUUUUGGCUUCACUGUAAAAUCUGCCAUUGCUUUCAGGAUGGUAUCCAGUAAUACCUGCAACUUGUGAUAAUAGCCACUGACUUCCAGCUUAAGAAAAUCAGAAAAAAGAGUGAGCAUGUUGUAAAUGGAGAACCCCACUUACUGGAGGAACAAGGAUGUGAAAAAGGAAAUAUUUCUGCAUCGAAUCAAUGCCCAAUUUGUAUAUGCAUGUAAAUACACACACAAAAUAAAUGUACAUAUAUAUGCGUGUAUUUUUUUCCUAUGGCCAGAACUCUCUACAUAAAAAAAGCUGAUUCUUUCACCCAGGCCGGCAAAUCAGAUAGUCAGAAUAAUUUAUAACACAUUCAAGAAACCUUGGAUGGGUAGUGGGCUAGGGCCUUCCGUAGCAAGAUAAAGUAUCUAUAUGCUGGCAGGGGACAGAAAAAACGAAUGACUAACCAAUAGCCACAAGCAAAAAAUCUAUAGGUUGAUGCAGGCAUUGUAUAUCAUUCCACUCUUACAUCAGUUGAUGAAUGUGCUAAAACUAACCGGGAAUCAGCAGUUAUUGAUAGAAAUGCAAUCAUGGAUGACAAAAUGAGGCCGCAAAUAGGAAAUUGACACAAGUAUAAUAGAGAACUGUGCAACUUAUUUCUUAACUUAUAGGAAAUCGGGCACAUAUUGAACCUGCACUCCAGAUAAAGGCAUCGCAAGGCGCACCAUCAAAGAGUCUAGAGAGCAUCUGGNNNNNNNNNNNNNNNNNNNNNNNNNNNNNNNNNNNNNNNNNNNNNNNNNNNNNNNNNNNNNNNNNNNNNNNNNNNNNNNNNNNNNNNNNNNNNNNNNNNNNNNNNNNNNNNNNNNNNNNNNNNNNNNNNNNNNNNNNNNNNNNNNNNNNNNNNNNNNNNNNNNNNNNNNNNNNNNNNNNNNNNNNNNNNNNNNNNNNNNNNGCCUCAUAAUCUGGGCUUUCUUACACGACCAAAUUUCUGCCAAAGGGAAUAAGCAAAGCCCUAAGUUGGUGAGAAUGGUUUUUUGCAAAUGACCUGAAAGAAAAACGGAGAAAUGCCCAGAGGCAAGAAUAGCCAGAACAGAACAACAUACCGUGACCAACAUCAGUCAUCUCAAUAACAACAUUAAAGAAAGGAACAUUUGAAUCCACAACGCUUUCAUAAGCAGACAAACUAGUGGCCCAUCAUGCAAAGUCAUUUGCAUCGAAACUAAUCAUAAACCAGACUUGAUCAAAAUAGCUGAAAAAUGAUCGGGUUUUGUAAGAACAACAUUGUAGCAAACGAUGCACUUUCAUCCGUAAAAUGUUCUCUUAUGUAGGAGAGGCCAAGCUUUCUUGCGUUGCUGCGCUUAGAAUCAUAAGCUCUAAGUACUUUCUCCCCCAAAACAAAGAUGUGACCAUGCAAGCUCAAGAAAUAAAAUCGAACCUGACUUGCGGUCGCAGAUUUAGGGCUUCUCGAGGGACCGCUUCGAGCAAAGUGGAAAGCAAGUCGUCGACGGAAGAUUAGACAAGAGGGCAGGGCGAUUGUAACAUCCCGGGCCCCACUGUGUAAUAUUGUCCGCUUUGGGUCACCCGCCCUGGCACGGACGGACCGCCAUCCCAGCCACGAUAUUUUCCCUCACGGCUUUAAAACGCGUUACACAGAUUAGAGAGACCCAAGCCUUAUAAGCUAACCAAGACCUCCCUCCCUAGGCGAUGUGGGACAAGAAAGGAGGUUGUUACACUCUCCACCUCUUAACAGAAUAGCGUCCUCACUAUGGCCCCACGGGCAUCAGAACAACAUUCGAGCUGUGGCCCACACGCGGUCGGGAGUCGGCUCCGAUACCACUUGUAACAUCCCAGGCCUCUCUGUGUAAUAUUGUCCGCUUUGGGUCACCCGCCCUGGCGCGGACGAACCGCCAUCCGAGCCACGGUCUUUUCCCUCACGGCUUUAAAACACGUUACAUAGAUUAGAGAGACCCAAGCCUUAUAAGCUAACCAAGACCUCCCUCCCUAGGCGAUGUGCNNNNNNNNNNNNNNNNNNNNNNNNNNNNNNNNNNNNNNNNNNNNNNNNNNNNNNNNNNNNNNNNNNNNNNNNNNNNNNNNNNNNNNNNNNNNNNNNNNNNNNNNNNNNNNNNNNNNNNNNNNNNNNNNNNNNNNNNNNNNNNNNNNNNNNNNNNNNNNNNNNNNNNNNNNNNNNNNNNNNNNNNNNNNNNNNNNNNNNNNNNNNNNNNNNNNNNNNNNNNNNNNNNNNNNNNNNNNNNNNNNNNNNNNNNNNNNNNNNNNNNNNNNNNNNNNNNNNNNNNNNNNNNNNNNNNNNNNNNNNNNNNNNNNNNNNNNNNNNNNNNNNNNNNNNNNNNNNNNNNNNNNNNNNNNNUCCUAUCUAUAUUAUUUUAGAGUGUUUUGUGGUAUUAAUUUAAUAUAAAAAUGUCAAGUCACGUCAAAUACCGAGAAUACGCCGACGAAGAAAAUUCCUGAUCACUCGGCAUUGCCCCAAAAGAAAAAGAAAGAUAAAAAGUGAGUCACUCGGAUUCCCAUGUGCAAUUAGGCGAAAGACACGACACGACACAAGAGGUUGUCCCAAGCCUUUGUUUCUUUCCCGUGCAUUGCAAUGCAAUUCCCAGGAAGCAACCAAUAUGCGGGACCCACGUUGAAAACUCUCUAGGAUUUGAUCGAUGAGGUUGACAAUUCUCACGCGGCACUGCUAUGGGAAACUUGUAAUAGGGGCACUUUUGCUUUGCCUUGUAAUCGGACUCCAAUUAUUAGGCAGGAAAUAUGUACGUCCUCGGUCCUUUCUUUUCUUUUCUUUUCUUUUUUUGUUCAUCCUCACAAUGUCAUAACUUAAGACUUAAGAGAUAGUAACAUAAAUAAUCAUUGCAUUCUAAUCUAAAUGAUCGUGAUAGUAACAUAUUGUAGUCCUUAAACUUUAAAUUUGUUUAAUGUGAUCAUUGAACUAUAACUCAAUAUGCAAUUUGGUAUCCAAGUUAUUACUUUGUUCAAUAUGAUCCUUAAAUUUUAGUCAAAUAUGUAAUUUAGUCCUUCAAUUUUUAAUUUGUUCAAUAUGAUUCAUAAAAUUUUGAUAUACAGUCAACUUAAUCAUUGAACUAUAUGAAAAUAUAUCAUGAUGUUCUUCUAUAGUACAAGUUUAGCGACAAUAUUGAAUAUUUUCAUAUAGUUUCUACACUAAAUUGAAUAUGUAUCAUAAAUUUAUGGACUACAUUGAACACGUUGAAUGUUCAGGAACCAUCAAAGAUUACAUAAACAAAUUAAAAUUUUAGAUACCACAUUACACAUUGGGUCAAAAUUCAAGAACUAUUUAUAUCAUUUUCCUUAAAUUAAAAUUUUUCCUCGAUCUUAGAUUAAGGAGAAGCUACGAACUAUAUAUGUCGUUCUGUAAACUUUUACUAAGAAAAAGUCAUCAUCAAGACAAUUUUUAUUCGUUAUGAUGAUGGGUUGGAAUCAUCAAGUGAAAAUCCAACACGCGGGUCACUUUUUUGCUAUGGAAAUUUGAUUGAUCUGAGAAAAUCACAUCAAACAAUGCAACUUUUGACAAAACAAAGAUUCAUAAAGAACGUCAUGCUCGAUCUGCAGAAAAUAUUUGAUUCCUAUCACAAGAUGAUCUUUUGGUCUCGGCACAAAAUUCUGGACUUUAUUAACCUUAAAUUGAUACAAUUCUUCUGGCAUUGCUUCGACCUAGUUUUUUUCCUCUACUACUAAUUAGAAUCGGAGUCCUUGCUAGGGCAUUAGUUUCAUCUAUAUAGGGGGUAAUUAAUCGAUAAAAUACCGACCAAUUGUUUCACAUGCAAAAUUUUCCCUAAUGAGCUGACCUAAAAUUAUUGAAACUUCUAUGGAUGGCGAUCAACUAGUCCAUAUUAAAUUCAUAUUAUGAUCUAGAUUUUUCAUUUUGCUUAAUUCCAAGCAGCCACACGAUCAUUCGUUUAGUACGUCCUCGUGCCCUCGUUGCCUUUCAGUUGAAAAUAUAAGAAUAACCCAAUUCUAGAUAGUAGAUAUAAAGUCCACAUGACGUUAACUUUACGGUACCAAACUCAAAAAUAAAGCGUCUUCUUUUUAGGUCUAGAAGCAUUUCUGGCCGAAAAGAAAAAUGUCUAGAGGCAGCCGAUAUUGAAUGAUUUAAAAGAUUUGUCAGCAUAGCAUGCCGUGGACCGAAGCCUACCUCACUUGACUUUGUUUCGUUCAAAGUGAAAAAAACAAUAGAACUAAAAAAACAGUCGAUAUGUAUUUUGGGAAAAUCGCCACAUUCAUUGAAGUGAUAUUUCACUUAAAUUCUACCUUAGACUUUUGGAUUUGUGCGCAUAUAUAUAUAUAUAUAUAUAUAUAUAUAUAUAUAUAUAUAUAUAUGUAUGUAUAUAUAUGUAUAUAGGGAGAUGACAUUACACAUGACAAGUGAAAUAAAUUGGGAUAGAAUAUGAUUUUGAUAAUACAUUAGAAUGUUUAACUUAAGAGUUUGAAUUUAUAGACGGGGGAUGUCACGUGAAUAUAAAGAACUUCUAAACCCCAUAAAUAAGCUAAACAAAUUUAACAAUAACCAUACAUAUAGAAAAGUGGAACUAAGUAGCAGACAAUUAUUAUUGUGACAUAGACAUCAUACUUAUCAAGAUAUAAUGGGAACAAUUGAUAUAUAUUGUGGGAAAAUGGUCACAUUCAUUAAAGUGAUGUGAUAUUUCACUUAAAUUCUACCUCAGACUGGACUUGUGUGGAAAAGAUAUAUAUAUAUAUAUAUAUAUAUGGAGACGAUUACACGUAAAAUUCAACAAAUGAGAAGGCUAUACAUGUGAAAUAAAUUGGGAUAGAACAUAGUUCUAAUACAAUGUUACAAUGUUUAAUCUGAAAGCUUAAACUUAUUGAUAGAGAAAAACCACUUAUAUGUAAAGAGCUUAUAAACUCUGUAAAUAAGUUAAAUGACUUGAAUAAUAACUAUACAUAUGGAAAAGUGGAACUAAGUGGUAGACAGUUAUCAUUGUGAUGUAAACAUCAUACUUAUGAAGGUAUAAUGGGAACAUUUGAGUGAGAUGAAAGGAAGGUAAGUAUUCCAUUAAUAAUAUAGAUCGAUGAAAGAUAUAUGGAUAAUGUCCAAUGAAUUCUUAUUUUUCAAAAUUUCCAGCUUACUAAUUUGUAUACUUGUUCAUCAAUUAUGAAAUGACAAACCAUAGAGCUCAAUGGCCAAAAGUGAAGGAAACAACAUAGCUCUCUAUCUAAUAUCAUCCACGAGUAGGUUAAUUAAAUUAGCUUUUCUUGAACACGUAUAUUUUCUUUUAGAGAAAUACAAUUCAAUAGCUAUAACUUGUGUGAUUUCAAAAAUGUGCUUAUGUGUCUCUCAAUAAGGCUACAAUUUAUUCUAUCAAGCUUUAAAUUAAGAGGAAAAAACAUUAAUCAACCAUCGUAGAAGCGAAAAAGAAGGUGGUUAACAUGAUUAACAUAUGAUGGGUAAAUUUUGCAUUCGCUAUUGUAAGUCUAAAUUUGAGAUUUGUGCGAUUGCCUAAUCAAACCGUCACACUUUAAACUCAAUUAGAUAGUAAUUUGAGAAUCAAUUAUCACAGCACUAGUGGUCUCUUUAAUUAGCUAUAUUAAACAUUAAUUCUUCACAUGAACCAAAUUGAGAAUGGAAGUUCUUAUUUUUUCAAUUUCCUCUUUUAUUGGCCAAAUCAUCAACUGUUCCCAGCCUCUGCAACCCCAUUCCUUAUCAUGGGCCAUAUAUCAUAGAAAGAUUAGUAGCUCUAGUCCUUUUCUUAAGCACUCCAUAUAAAAGUGAAGAAAUUCCCUCGUCUUAGGCUACAUAAAAAGUUCAAGAAAUGGAAUAUUACGAGAUCUUUUCAAGCUUCGCACGCUUUUACACCUCUCAUGUCCUUAUCACGACAUAUAUUGCUGGCUUCUAUCAUUAUUUUACCAUAUAAAGCUACUUUAAUCUAAAACAAUAGCAACAGCUACGACGACGACCACAACAAUAAUAAUAAUAGUUAUAAUGACUGUGAAUAAUGGUGAUAUUUAAUAAUUGAAAGAAUUUUUAAUAGGCUAAUCAUAAUCAAAUUGAUCACAAAUCUAAAAACAAUUAGACGAAUAUUAAGUGUCCCAAAAGAGAGUUGUUAAUUUUAGGACGACCAAAUAAAGAGUUGUUCACACAAAAAAAAGGGAAAGAAAAAAAAAAGAGUUUCUGGCAUAUUCUUCAAGCUCUUCCUUCUGUCAUAUAUUCGAUUCCCUCUUCAUCUCAUACUCCUGCACUUUCACAACUCAAUUCUUCGGCUGCUCUGAACCAAUUCUAGUCUCGCGGCAUCGAACCUGAUGGGAGCUUGACACCUCCGUUGACCCGCCAGUGACGAAACCUUGNNNNNNNNNNNNNNNNNNNNNNNNNNNNNNNNNNNNNNNNNNNNNNNNNNNNNNNNNNNNNNNNNNNNNNNNNNNNNNNNNNNNNNNNNNNNNNNNNNNNNNAGAGGCAAGAGGAAUAGAGUUGGCCCAAACAGAGGUCUUCUUCUUCGUGGAUUUGGGGGACUAUGGAGUCGAUGAACAUGGACUCUGAGCUGCAGAGGAAGCAGUUUGGGUUCUGGGAGAGGAGGUGAGAAGCCUUGAUGGUUUGGGGGAACUCUUGCAGUCUUCCGUCCAUGUGAAUGACCUUGAGCGUGGAUGGAGAUGAUGAUGGCCAGCUAUGGUGAAAAGUGGUCAUGGCAAGGCCACCAUUUCUUGUGAUCUGAGGAGCCGCACAGUUGCCCAUUCUAUAUCUUUUGGGGAGGGGGAGGUUGGUUUUGGGGGCGUGGGUGGGGUGGUUAGAUAGAGAGAGAGAGAGAGAGAGAGAUUGAUGUUUGUUUGGCCAAGAUGUUUGACAUGGGCAGGUAUUUAAUGGGGGAGUAAAGGCGUGUUUCAGAGUUUUGGAUUGACCAAUGACCCAACUUUUUGACCCUCAACAGUAUAAUUUGUACACAAAUACUUUUUUGGGUACUUUGUUCCAAAUCUCCUUGAACUUUACGUCCAUCGCACAAUAAAUUUUAAACCUUAGAAAAUGACACUUUAUCUCUUUCAACUUUAGCAUUGUUGGCCCCAUAGCCCUCAGACUUUAGAUAGUUACGCAUUACUUUCCUAACCUUGAAGCUUCGUCGAGCUUGGCCAUGGCAGUCGAGAGUUUCCUUGAGCUCGCGGCUAUGGCCGCUCGGGAUUUAGCACUGGUGGGGUUGUUAGGUUUUACGGGUUUUGAUGUCAGCAAAUUUCGUUACUAGACCAACUGGAGAUGAUACUUUGAAAAGUACAUGGAUGAUUUUGAACCAAAAACAAAAGUAGAAGGGGAGUUUUAAUCUCUUGAUUAAGGUAUAGAGACCCACAAUGAUAUUUUACUAAUUACUUUCGUUAAAUACUUUCAGUAAAUUAGAUCAUUUGAAAGAUAUUUUCGUUUGCUAAGUCUUUCAAAUACGUAAGGAUAUGCGAAUAAAGAAAAAUCAUAAUUCACCUUCAUAAGGCAGUGUCAUGAAAAAUUGAAAGUUGACGUGACUUUGUUAGUCAUUUGGUACGUUCUCCUUUAUUACUUAGCAUAUUCCAAAAAGGAAGAGAAAAAUGAAGUAAUUUACUCGGAUUACCAUGGGUGGUGAAAUGAAAAACACGAAACAAAANNNNNNNNNNNNNNNNNNNNNNNNNNNNNNNNNNNNNNNNNNNNNNNNNNNNNNNNNNNNNNNNNNNNNNNNNNNNNNNNNNNNNNNNNNNNNNNNNNNNNNNNNNNNNNNNNNNNNNNNNNNNNNNNNNNNNNNNNNNNNNNNNNNNNNNNNNNNNNNNNNNNNNNNNNNNNNNNNNNNNNNNNNNNNNNNNNNNNNNNNNNNNNNNNNNNNNNNNNNNNNNNNNNNNNNNNNNNNNNNNNNNNNNNNNNNNNNNNNNNNNNNNNNNNNNNNNNNNNNNNNNNNNNNNNNNNNNNNNNNNNNNNNNNNNNNNNNNNNNNNNNNNNNNNNNNNNNNNNNNNNNNNNNNNNNNNNNNNNNNNNNNNNNNNNNNNNNNNNNNNNNNNNNNNNNNNNNNNNNNNNNNNNNNNNNNNNNNNNNNNNNNNNNNNNNNNNNNNNNNNNNNNNNNNNNNNNNNNNNNNNNNNNNNNNNNNNNNNNNNNNNNNNNNNNNNNNNNNNNNNNNNNNNNNNNNNNNNNNNNNNGUUUGGGGGAAUUACAUUACAAAUGGCUUUGGUGAUAAAAAAAUUAUCAAAAGAAAAAUAAUAAAUAAAUUGACCGACAAGGGCAGUGGCCGACAGACGUCCACUGAAGACCACCGGCGAGGGUCGCCGGACGUCGGGUGACCACUGAAGACCACCGACGAGGGUCGCUGAACGUCGGGCGACCACUGAAGAUCAUCACAGAGGGUCGCCGGACGUCGGGUGACCACUGAAGACCACCGACGAGGGUCGCUGAACGUUGGGCAACCAUUGAAGAUCAUCAUAGAGGGUCGCCGGACGUCGGGUGACCCGGCCGCAACCCAAAUCUGGGGCGGUGAGGUCCCCGCGACCUCGUUGCCCUAGAUCUGGGUCGUGGCGGGGUCACGCGACCUCGCCGCCCCCGGAUUUGGGUCGUGGCGAGGUCGGCGACCCAAACCUCGCUGCGACCCACGGCAAUCGCCGCGACCCAGUGACGGUCGCCUAGGCCACCGCAACCAUGCCGAGCCAUCGGCAGCCACUCACAGCUUCGAGCAACACAUCGGCCUUCAACGGAGAAGAAGAUGAAUAGUACAAUGACGAGGGCAAAAUCGGAAAAAUCGAGAGUAAGUGAGGAUAGUUUUGGAAGAAAAUAAAGAAGAAAUGAACAGUGCCACUUGUAUGCCGAGAAAGCUGAAAGCCCAAGGCACCCUCACACCUGCUUUGGGCUUUUAGCCUUGAGAAUGCCAGCUUUGGCCUAAUGGGAAUUUCAAAGUUGUUCCCAAACACCCUAGCUUUAGCCCAAGUAUCUUUAGAAGCCCAAAGCCCUUUGCAAAGUUAAUUCCAAACGCACCCUAAAACAAGAAGAACAAGACUAAAACAAUGUCAUUUUUGUCCAAAUUAAAAUUUAAAACAAAUUAAAUUAGAUUAAAAUAAAAACUAAAUUAAAAGAUAUUUCCUUAUUAGAUAUCAAAUAUGACCGGAUAAAAACAUUACUCUGCAAAAUGAUUGGCAUUUCUGCCUAAUGUUGUGGAAGCUUCUUGAGAAAAGUUUNNNNNNNNNNNNNNNNNNNNNNNNNNNNNNNNNNNNNNNNNNNNNNNNNNNNNNNNNNNNNNNNNNNNNNNNNNNNNNNNNNNNNNNNNNNNNNNNNNNNUAGUUACAUUUUGUUCUUCCAAACAAAGUAAAUCUAAUCUACAUACAUCCUCUUACUAUAAAUUCAUUUCCCAUUACUCUAUCUACAAAGUAAAGAAUCUGCCACAAUGGCUAAUAUAUUUAAACAAAAACAGUAAUUUAGCAACUUCAUCUAGAAAGAAACUAGAUUAUCUACAAAGACCUUUUUUGCUUCAAUUACAUAAACAACAAAAUUAAGAUGUCCGUGACCUGGAACUUCCAUUGAGAAUAGGAAUGCUUAUCUCAAUGUAUACUAGAUAAUUAUGAUGGAACUCCAGCUACCAGUCUGACAAAACAUCAAGAAGUAACACGAAAGAAAGCACUCAUGUACCAAUAAAUUGGUUGAUGGUUUUGUGAGAGUCUAUGAUAAGUUCUUUGUCUGCUCUUCUUCUUUUCUGUUGUCUGUUGUUUUGUUUAAAGUACAAUUCAGCUAUGCUUUGUUCUGUCAGGAUUGGGUGGUGUUUCGCCAAGGAGUAGAAUGUGGCUUUCAAGGGAGAGUCAAUAAACAGGGAGGUAUGUCAUAUAAAGAAAAUAUAGUCCUCUGUUUCUACUUCCCUUUGCAUUGCAAAAUGAACUUUCUUUUGUGCUUGUAGAUCCCAGUCUGUUUGCGAUAAAAAAAUAUGCGCUAUCUGCUUCCAUUAUGGAUAUCACUCAUGUCAUGUGGGAUAUGAACCUAAAUUAAUUUGUCAAGUCGUCGUGUCUUAUUUGUUGUUACAUGUGAAAUUGCUUCUUUUCAGAGACACGAAAAUCAAAAGCGGGGUACUUAAACUUAUGUGCAAGAUCUAACUUCAAUUCACAGCCUUCCGCUCUCCAGUAAAAAGGAAUCACAUUUCCAUGAGAAACAAGUAUACUCCUGACAGCUCACAUCACCUAAUUAGCACAAAAAGACGGCACAUUUUGCAGCACUUUUUCUCUCUCGCGAGCAUCUUCGCAGUUCCUUCAUUCUAGCCUAAUCCUAGAAAGAGAGAAAAGAUGCUCUCUCAGAAGUCAAGCUGCCGAAUCUCUUCUUUUCUUAGCAAACACCAAUUACACAAAUCCAACGGCAACUCUCCGAUUCUUGUUCAGCUUCCUAAAUCCAACUCCACCAGACGACUCACCCCAUUUCCCGAAAUCAUCCAAAGCUAAAGAAGACGACGCAGAGAGACCCAUCAAUCAUUUUAGCUAUAAAUUUCGGCAGAACAAGAACUGCCGCACUCGCUCGACAUGAAAACCAGACAACUCGCAGGAAACAAAACAAAAACGAAAACCCAGGAAAUCAAGAAGCAGCGGAUCAAACCUAUAUAGAGCGUAAUCGAGGACUAUAGGGGAGAAGCGAACCUUGAAAUUCCACUGGAAGCUGUAUCGGAGCUCGGGGUUGAGAGCUGACUCGUCCUCCUCCUCGGCGUCGCUGGCAACAAUCGACAGAUUCGGCGGCGACUAGGGUUCUGGUGUUGAGACGAGGGGUGGCGACGAAGACGGCGAGGCGGAGGUGCGUCGACAGACGGCAACGAUCGACUGAUUCGGCGGUGGCUAGGGUUCCGGCGGUCGUGAGCGUAGGCACAGUCGUGUCAUCGGAGAAUAAGGUGGAUCCGAGAAAGAUGAGAACGUGUUUGUGUUUAUUGUUUAUGUUUGGAUUCGGAGUUAUCGUGUUUCGGGUCGAACAAUGUUCCGACCCUACCCGACCCUAAACAUAUCUUUAUUGCUUGUUUUAUGUCUAUGUCUCAAACAGUAUCAAGACCCAAAACAAGUAUACUACUUGUUUCGUGUUCAGGUCGUGUUCGGGUCGGUUCGGGUCGGGUCGGGUCGGGCUUUUUUGACAACCCUACCAUUAAGGUACCAUCUAGGAAAAACACAGCAUCAUCUGCGAAGAAUAAAUGAGAUAAAGUGGGACACCAUUGAUUCAAUUUGAUGCCUUUGAGUAAGCCCAUAUCCAGAGCAUUCCGAAUGAGAAGUGAUAGGAGGUUAGCAAUGAGAAUGAAUAAGUAAGGGGAUAAAGGAUCACCCUGCCUAAGCCCUCUGGUAGGAUGAAAGCUCUGUAGAUAAUUACCAUUCAUUUUGACACACAAAGUUGUAGUUGAGAUGCACUGCAUGAUUAGCUAUACCCAACGAGACUGAAAGCCUAGACAAAGUAGGUAAUCCUGAAGAAAAUCCCAUUCUAUAUGAUCAUAGGCCUUCUGCAUAUCAACUUUGAGCACAGCUUGAAAAUGACGCUUUCUUUUUCUAAUUUUGAUAUGAUGAAUGACUUCCUAUACGAUAAGAACAUUAUCUUGAAUCUGUCUUCCAGCAACAAAAGCACUUUGUUCCUCAUAAAUUAGAGCAGGCAGUAGGGGUUUUAACCUGUUAGCGAGUACUUUAGAAAUUUUUUUAUAAGCAUAGUUGCACAAGCUAAUAGGUCGAUAUUGAUCCAAGCAUUAUGGGUUUGGGGUUUUGGGGAUCAACGUUAUAGCAGUUCUAUUUAAGUCCACCGGUAAUAAUCCAGAAUUGAAAAAUAAUUGAACUGCCCAAUAAAUGUCUUCCUUAAGAACCUCCCAAUGAGAUUGAUAGAACAUACUGUUGGAGAAAUCUUCUUGAAGUAUUUUGAAGUUGACAAAUUGUUUCUAUCAGUCUAGUUUGAAGGCUUGCAGACUCUGCUAUUUAAAGUCUGAAGACCUUGGGACAGCCAAACUCAAGACUCAAAGUCUAUCUUCAUUGACAGUCUCUAAUCCGUUGAAGAAAGGUUAUCCAGAACUUGAUGUUUCGUUGAGGAUUUAACCUUAUCAACUGGAGAAGAUCUCAUGGCUGGAGAAGACAUAAACGGAUUCCUUUGAUUGAUCGAAGAUUGAUUCGAUAAUUGAAGAUCCGGUGAUUGCCUAAAUAUUAUUGGAAGGUUCUACUUAUGGAAACCGAGAUCCUGAUUGUAUGGGCGAACAGGAUUGAUGGGCUAUCAACACGUUCCAUUUAUAGCUUGGACAAACUUCCUAAUUGAUUCCGUCCAACGAGUAGAUUGGAGGAAUUCCUUUGGUAAGUGCCAACGGGUAUGAUGGCAUAAAGGAGUAUAUAAGGAAGACUGUCUUAGUUGUUCAAGGUGUGCGCGAUAGAAGAAUUCCAAAGUCUGAAGCUCCUUUUUGUUUAGACAAAUCCUUUGAGAGAAUACUUGUAUACGAAAGAGAGAGUCUAUAUUUGUGAGAAAUCUUGAGGAGGUGUGGUAGAACAUCUACACUGUGGAAUCAAGGCAAAGCUGUGCUGUAACCUCUCUCUUGUUCAUAGUGGAAUCCAGCCAAUAGGCUGUCAGUGAAGAAGAGUGGACGUAGGCUUGAUAUAAGCCGAACCACUAUAAACCGCGUGUUCAAUUUUCUCUUCUCUCAGUCUUACUUUGAUUAUCGUUUCAUCCAAUUGUCUAGUAUUGUGCAAUUGCUUGAGAAAAAAUUCUUUAUAUACCUAUUCACCCCCCUCUAGGUACUCAUACUAGCAAUAUCAAUUAGUAUCAGAGCCUGUGUACUUACUUUAUUUGAAGUGUUUUACUUCGUAGUUAAAGAUCCAUGGCUAGUAUGCUAGCACCAGGGUUGAUGGAAGGGCAAAGCAAUACCAGACCACCCUACUUUGAUGGAAAGGAUUACAACAUCUGGAAGAACAAGAUGAAAGCUUUCCUUCGAUCAAAGGAUCCUCUGGAAUGGGACGUUGUAGAAAAAGGAAUUACUCCUACCACUGCAUCAGUCUCUGAAAGAGGAAAAGAAACUGAUGAAACCAGCGGAAUGUCUCAGGAAGAAAUAAUCAAGAGACAAACACUCGAUGCAAAAGCAAUUUACUCCUUAUAUUGUGCUUUAUCACCAACUGAAUAUAAUAGAAUAUCUUCUUGUGGUAUAGCAAAAGAAGUUUGGGACAGAUUGCAUAUCACCUAUGAAGGAACAGAUCGAGUGAAGGAAACUAGAAUCAACAUUCUUCUCGGUCAAUACGAAGCCUUCAGAAUGAAACUAGGAGAAUCUAUAUCUGACAUGUUUAGUCGUUUUACAGAUAUUGUGAAUAGUCUUGAAAAUCAAGGUCAACCAACUUCUGAUCCCAUGAAGGUAAACAAGCUACUGCGUGGACUCUCCAGGGAUUGGAAUCACAUAAAGACUUCGAUAAGAGAGACGCAAAGAAUUAUGCCACUAUCUGUCGACGAGCUAAUUGGAACUCUUUAGUCUUAUGAAGUGGAAUGGAUCAAUGAAGAUGAAGAUCCAAAAGGUAAGAAAUCUAUUGCAUUAAAAUCAAAUGAUGAUUCUGAUGAUACAGAUUCUGAAGAAGAUAUGGACGAUGAAGAGCUUGCUCUCAUGAUAAGAAGAUUUAGAAAACUGAAUAGAAAAGGAAGAAGGUUCAACUCAAAGAAACAAAGCUUUCAAAGACAGCAGACCAAGUCUGUUGAUGAUGAAGAACCAAACAAAGACAUAGUCUGCUUUGAAUGUAAGAAAAAGGGACACAUCAGACCCAACUGUCCUCUUCUGAAGAAGAAGAAAGGAAAAGCUGAAAGAUUUCGAAAAGCUCUCAAAGCCGAAACCUGGAGUGACACAGAGUGUGAAGAAAGUGAUAAUGAAUAUGCCAAUCUAUGUCUGAUGGCACAAUCAGACUCAGACUCUGGAUCAGACUCAGACAGUGAAUUUGAGGCAAGUGAUAUUAAAAUUCCUGUCAAAGUUUCUAAAUAUAUUGAUGAAUUAUGUUUUAGUCUUAAGACUUCUCUCAAAAGAAUUUCCGAACUGAAAAAGGAAAACUCAGCUCUAAAACAAAAGGAAAAUGUUUUAGUAGAAAGAGUUAAAAGUCUAGACUUGACUGUUUCCAAUCUUAAAGAAAAUGGAGAUAAUCUUUCAAAAGAAAAUGUCUUUUUAAAAACAGACUUAUCAAAUAUAUCAAAGAAAUUUUCAAUAGGGUCUGAAAAACUUGAGAAAAUUCUUUCAGCACAAAGACCUUACUUCAGUAAGUCCAGUCUAGGAAUGUCAGAAGAAACAAUUCCCCUGAUUAAUUUUCCUAAAGUAAAAGAAAGAAUUAAGAAAAGACUCUCGAGAGAGGUUUACAAAAAUCACUUCAAGAAAGUUUUUGUAAAAUCUGUAGGAAGAAAUGCUCUAAAAUGUUCAAAAUGCAACAGUCCGGAUCACUUUGAGAAAGAGUGUCCUAUGGUUUGAAAACCUGUUAAGAGAAUAUGGGCUAAUACUGCUUAUGUUACUAACACAAAAGGACCCAAGAAAGUUUGGGUACCAAAGAAAGCUUGAGACUCUUUUUUAAAUGCAGGUCACCGUCAAGAAAAAGGUAAAGUGGUAUCUUGACAGUGGAUGCUCAAGACACAUGACAUGAGACUCAAAUUGUUUUAUAAAGAUUGCUCAAGUAAAUGGUGGAAAAGUUUCAUUUGGAGGAAACAACAAAGGGAGUAUUGUGGGAUUUGGAACUGUGAAAAUUGGAAAUCUCACAAUAAGUAAUGUUUCCUUAGUGGAAGGACUCAAUUACAAUCUUCUCAGCAUUAGUCAAUUGUGUGAUACUGGUUUCAAGAUCUUUUUUCAAGAAGGAAUAUGUUCUGGAAUCAGUAAAGACUCUACUCAGUCUUUCAUGGGUCGUAGACAUGGAAACAUUUAUCUUCUGGAUGUGAAACCAAAUGAAUCGCAAUGUUUUAUCUCAAUUCAAGACGAAGCAAGCUUAUGGCACAGAAAGCUUGGUCAUGUCAACAUGAAGCAAUUAGCCAAAAUCUCAUCAAAGCAGCUUGUUCGAGGACUACCCAAAUUACCUUAUCAAAAGACUGAUCCAUGCACUCCAUGUAUUCUGGGAAAGCAGGUAAGAAAUUCAUUCAAGCCAAUAAAUCAUGUCUCUACUAAUCAUGUACUACAGUUGCUGCAUAUGGAUCUUUUCGGACCAACCAGAACACAGAGUAUUGGAGGUAAGAAAUAUUGCCUAGUAAUUGUGGACGAUUACUCUCGUUUUACUUGGGUAUAUUUCCUUGCAAGUAAGUCUGAAACCUUCUCGUAUUUUGAAAAAUUUGCUAAAAAUGUUCAAAAUGAAAAAGGAUGUGUUAUCUCAAGUAUAAGAACAGAUCAUGGAGGUGAAUUUGAAAAUCAAGAUUUUACAAAAUUUUGUGAUGAAUCUGGCUUUAAUCAUGUGUUCUCCUCUCCAUAUACUCCUCAGCAAAAUGGAGUUGUGGAAAGAAAGAACAGAUCUCUUCAGGAAAUGGCUAGAACUCUUUUAAUUGAAAGCAAGAUUUCUUCACGAUUUUGGGCUGAAGCUGUUUCAACAGCAUGUUAUAUCAUCAAUAGAGUCUUCUUAAGACCUAUUCUAGAGAAAACCCCUUACGAAUUGUUCAAAGAUAAGAAGCCUAUUGUUUCAUACUUUCAUGUAUUCGGUUGCAAAUGUUUUAUAUUGAAAAAUGCAAAAGAUCGAGUUGGUAAGUUUGAAGAAAGAUCAGAUGAAGGUAUCUUCCUUGGAUAUUCUACAUCAAGCAAAGCCUUCAGAGUCUAUAACAAGAAGAGCCAGUCUAUGGAGGAGUCAAUGAAUGUCAAAUUCCAAGACUCAACGCAAGAUGAAUCAAGUCAGACUCAUCAAGAAGAGUCUGAACCUGCUUCAGAUCUUCCAAAGCUUACAUCUCAAGAAGCAUCUCAGACUCUGGAAAACCAGCUUCAAGAUGUUCAUGAAGAUCCAAACAAAGAAAGAGAUCAUCAACUAGAUAGAUCAACGAGUAACUGGAAGCAUAAGUCCAGUCAUCCCAAAGAUAUUAUAAUCGGCGGAAUUAAUGAAGGAAUUCGCACCAGAUCCAAAAGGCGAGAAGAGUCUAGUGCUGUGGCUCUCGUUUCUGAAAUUGAACCAAAAAGCAUAGACGAAGCUUUAUCUGAUGAAAGCUGGAUUGAAGCUAUGCAAGAAGAGCUCAGACAGUUUAGCAUUAAUGAUGUCUGGGAAUUGACAUCCAAACCGAAAGGUAAAACUGUUAUUGGAGCUAAAUGGGUGUUCAGAAACAAGAUGAAUGAGAAAGGAAAAGUCGUACGAAACAAAGCAAGACUCGUGACCAAGGGAUAUACGCAAGAAGAAGGAAUAGACUAUGAUGAGACUUACGCUCUAGUAGCAAGGUUAGAAGCUAUUCGACUAUUACUUGCGUUUGCUUGUUAUAAGAAUUUCAGGUUAUUCCAAAUGGACGUCAAAAGCGCCUUCCUAAAUGGAGUCAUCCAAGAGGAAGUUUAUGUGGAACAACCACCAAGGUUUGAAGACCCAAAGAAGCCAGACUCAGUCUUCAGACUGAAGAAGGCUCUGUAUGGUUUAAAGCAAGCACCUCGAGCUUGGUACGACAGAUUAAGUAAGUUUUUAAUACAAAAUGGUUUUGUCAAAGGUAAAAUGGAUACUACUUUAUUUAUCAAAAAGGAGAACAAAAGUUUCUUACUUGUUCAAAUAUAUGUGGAUGACAUUAUUUUCGGAUCUUCUAAUGAAAAUAUGUGCAAGAAAUUUUCUAAGUCUAUGCAGGAUGAAUUUGAAAUGAGUAUGAUGGGAGAAUUAACAUUCUUUCUUGGUCUUCAAGUAAAACAAUUGAAGGAAGGAACUUUUAUUUAUCAAGAAAAAUAUGUUAAUGAUCUUGUCAAAAGAUUUGGACUGGAAAAUUGCAAAAAGACCGACAUACCGAUGUCAAGUUCUUUGAAGAUAGACAAAGAUGAAGAAGGGAAGAAAGUUGAUCAAAAGCUGUACAGGAGCAUCAUUGGUUCACUCCUUUAUCUUACUGCUUCUAGACCUGACAUCUUGUUGAGUGUUUGCAUCUGUGCUAGGUUUCAAUCAGAUCCUAGAGAAUCCCAUCUCAGUGCUGCGAAACGCAUCAUUAAAUACGUUGCUUCAUCAUCAAGCAUCGGUCUUUGGUAUCCUAAGAAGGGAGACUUUAAUCUUCUGGGAUAUUCAGACGCAGAUCUGGCCGGUUGCAGAGUUGAUAGAAAGAGUACUUCGGGAACUUGCCAGUUGCUUGGAAGCAGGACAGUGUCUUGGUUUUCAAGGAAACAAAGCACUGUGUCUCUUUCAACAACAGAAGCAGAGUAUGUAGCCCUGGGAAGCUGCUGUUCGCAAAUUCUAUGGAUAAAACAACAGCUAAGAGACUUUGAAAUUGAAGACUCAUGCACAUAGAUUAAUUGCGACAACACCAGCGCUAUCAACCUCACCAAAAAUCCAAUUCUCCACUCAAGAGACCAUGUUCAAAAUGGAGAUGUUUCAAUUCAAUUUGUUGACUCAAAGAAUCAACUGGCGGAUAUAUUCACAAAGCCUUUGGAGAAAAAUCAAUUUGAGUCUAUACGCUCGAGACUCAACAUUUUGAGGUAUGAGGAUAUCAAAGUCUAAAGACUUUCAGACUCAGACUUAUAAGACUUUAUCUGAAAGACAGUCUUGGUACGUCCGUCAGACUGUAAGUCUUUCUAUCUUGAAUCUCAAACUUGAAAAGGUACGAUUGUCAGACUGUGUUUAAAUUGUUGCUAUAUUUAAUUGAUGAAAAUAUUGCAUCAUUUCAUUUUCAAAAGGGAAGUUAUUUUUUAAAUGGCUAUUUUUGCGGAAAAAGACAGUUAUUUUGAAAAGGCAUAUUUUUAUUUCCUUUAUGACGGUUCGUUUAUCCCUCUUUUAACCGAUCUUGAACUGUCGAUUCCUCUUCUCUUUUCUCUCAAAAACCCUAGAAAGCAUCGAUCCUCCAUUCCCGUUUGUUUUCUUCGUUUAAUCCUCAAAAAGUUGUCAUCUUUCCUGGGAAAGUCAAGAAAGGAAUCUUCCAAAAACUGAGAAAGAUGUCAUCUUCAAGAAAGUCUUCGAGAAUUGCAAGCAGGGGACCACGGCGGAUGAGUGAGGGGCCUACGCACUUCGAUCUUACUGAAGAUGAAGUGACUCCAGAUCAGCAAGAGAGCCCACAACAUUCUCAACAGCGUCAUUCUCCUCCAUCUAGUCCUCAAGGCGUUGAUCAUCAACAACAGGAAGAAAUCAUCGAGGAUGCAGACCCUAUAAGAGUUCAAAAGCCCGCUUAUAUUUAUCAGUUAUAUCGUGCCCUAAAAGGAAUUCGUACUCCUUUGAACUACAUUGAUGAUUUUCUUAAAGACAAAGGACAUGGGAACGAAUAUAUCUUUCUGAAAAAAAUGGAAAGUUUGGGAAUUGCUCGAAAAGGAGUGGCUGAGGAAACCCUUGCAAAUAUCCCAAGUGAUCCUCGUGACUGGGGGCCGAAUCCUGUAGAUGGGAAUGAUGAUGAUAAAUUGUACAGUCAAUUCCAACCGAAAAUGGGUGUUGCGGUUGAUAACCAAGGAAAAAGAGGAGAUUUGUUCAGAUCAAAGGAGCAAAAGGAUCUGUACUCGAAAUUGCUGAAGCGUGGGGUGAUAAACCCUAGGAGUGUAGAUUUUGAUUUUCUGGAUGCUGUGAAUAUGAACUUGAGGGAAAAGUUCAGUUAUCUUCAACUUGAAAAAUUCUGCUCUGACUCUACAAAGGCCUAUGUUGAAUUAACUGCAUAUUUCUAUUCAAAUCUAAGCUUUUUGGAUGCGAAUAGAUUCUCGUUCAGCGUUAAAGACCAAGAUUAUGUUGUGGAUAUGAAUAUGCUGGCAGAUGUGUUAGAAGUCGAAAGAGGAAGAUAUCAGCCAAUCCAAGUUUCCAUUGCUCGGGCCACUCUUGAACUGGUGAAGGACAGGAGAACAGAUGAAAAGAUCACCUACUUAAGGAUGGGUGCAUUUAACAUCUUGCUUCACAAGAUUGUGAUUAAUUGUCUCCGACCGAAAUCGACUUCCAAGACUGAUGUUUCAAGUUCAGAAGCCAAGUUGAUGUAUGCCAUUCUCUUUGGAAAAAGGUUUUCUCUCUCUCACACUGUGAUGUUUCACAUGUAUAGAGCAAUGAUGAAGGACAGAGGUCAACUCCCUUACCCAAGCCUUGUUACGAAGUUAUUCAGACAUCUGAAUAUUCAGCCUCCACAAAUCUUUUGUGUUCGACCAUGCGAUCAUAUGGUGGUAGGUCUGAAAAUGGUGAUCAAAAUGCGUCUGAAGGAACUGAGCAAGGAGUUGGAGAAAUUCAAGGAGAAGACUCCUGCAAAAUCUCAUCAAAUAUCUUCUGCAGCUAAAAGAAAAGGGAAGGAGCCCAUGGUUGCUCCAUCCAAGAGAAGAAGAGCUCUCCUUGUUGAGGAUGAAGAUGAUGAGGAAGACAUCACCAUCUCUGCAUUGGCUUUGAAGAAUUUAAGUCGUCCUGUUCCACAGAAAGAAUCGGAGCAAAUGACGAAAGAAGCAGAGGAGAAGGAAGAAGAAGAAAUAGAAGCUGAAAAAGAAACAGAGGAGGAAAGACCUGAAGAAGAAAGAAGAGAAGAAGGAGAACCUGAAGAACACUCUUCUCCACCUGUAGGCACGGAAACAGGGGGAGAUCAGGAGAAAGGAGUGAAGUCUUCAUGUCCUGAUGCAAGUGAAGGAAUCAGUCGCUCACCAGCAGACCCAGAAGAUGUUUAUGCAUCUCAAUUUCCAGAAGAAGGUCAUGAAGUUUCAUCGCCAAACUUGCAAGAUUAUGCUGAUCUACCAUCAUCUGCAUUUACUCCAUCAGAUCGAGCCAAAGCAAGUACUCAAACUGAUAAUGGAGCAGAUUUUCGCAGAAUCAUGGAUAUUCUUUUGGAGAUGCGAGGUCAGAUUUAUGCCUUGGGAUGCGAAGUUCAAAGCUUGAAGAAUGAAGGUCAAGCUUCUUCCUGUUCAUUGAAUGAUAAAAUGCAAGCCCUCUCUGUUCAGAAUCAAGCCAAUGCCAAGAGUGAGGAGAUUGCACAGCUAAAUGAAGACUUUAAAAGGCUGGAAGGCAUCGUUCAGUCUAUGGAAGAUUUCCAGCUUGUCCGCGUUCCCAAGCAAUCUUAACUUCAUCUCAUCCUUUUUAAUGAUGACAAAAAGGGGGAGAGAUGCAAGAUUUGAUAAAAAAAAAAACCUUUCAUUCAACUUUUAAUUGUUUUUGUUGGAUUGUUUUGUGGUUUGAAUUUGUUUGACUUUGGUUUUGUGUCUGGAUGAGAACUGAACUAGACUUGGACUUGACUGCUUUUAUUAACUAAUAUUGAUAUCUUAUGGAUGGCUUCAUCAUAUACUGGACUAACCUAUUUUCUGUGGUUGCAGAUUCUAGUGUUAUUCUGUUAAGACAUUUACCUCUAUAAGAUAUGCAUAUGUGUUUGAGAAAUGUUUUGCAGGUCAAAGAUAUCCAAAUCUGCAGGAAAGUUUUGUCACCAUCAAAAAUGGGGAGAUUGUUGGAGAAAUCUUCUUGAAGUAUUUUGAAGUUGACAAAUCGUUUCUAUCAGUCUAGUCUGAAGGCUUGCAGACUCUGCUAUUUAAAGUCUGAAGACCUUGGUCCAACCAGACUCAAGACUCAAAGUCUAUCUUCAUUGACAGUCUCUAAUCCGUUGAAGAAAGGUUAUCCAGAACUUGAUGUUCCGUUGAGGAUUUAACCUUAUCAACUGGAGAAGAUCUCAUGGCUGGAGAAGACAUAAACGGAGUCCUUUGAUUGAUCGAAGAUUGAUUCGAUAAUUGAAGAUCCGGUGAUUGCCUAAAUAUUAUUGGAAGGUUCUGCUUAUGGAAACCGAGAUCCUGAUUGUAUGGGCGAAUAGGAUUGAUGGGCUAUCAACACGUUCCAUUUAUAGCUUGGACAAACUUCCUAAUUGAUUCCGUCCAACGAGUAGAUUGGAGGAAUUCCUUUGGUAAGUGCCAACGGGUAUGAUGGCAUAAAGGAGUAUAUAAGGAAGACUGUCUUAGUUGUUCAAGGUGUGCGCGAUAGAAGAAUUUCAAAGUCUGAAGCUCCUUUUUGUUUAGACAAAUCCUUUGAGCGAAUACUUGUAUACGAAAGAGAGAGUCUAUAUUUGUGAGAAAUCUUGAGGAGGUGUGGUAGAACAUCUACACUGUGGAAUCAAGGCAAAGCUGUGCUGUAACCUCUCUCUUGUUCAUAGUGGAAUCCAGCCAAUAGGCUGUCAGUGAAGAAGAGUGGACGUAGGCUUGAUAUAAGCCGAACCACUAUAAACCGCGUGUUCAAUUUUCUCUUCUCUCAGUCUUACUUUGAUUAUCGUUUCAUCCAACUGUCUAGUAUUGUGCAAUUGCUUGAGAAAAAAUUCUUUAUAUACCUAUUCACCCCCCUCUAAGUACUCAUACUAGCAAUAUCACAUACCAGUCAAACCAUCGGGACCUGGGGCUUUUGAAGCACCUAACUGAAAAGUGGCAUCUUUUACUUCUUCCAUUGUUACCUGUGCUAAAAGCAUGUUGUUCAUUUUUGUGGUAACCAUCUGUGGACAUUGUUGUAGAAUCUGGUCAUAACAGCAAGGGCCAGAGGUUGUGUAUAGGAGUGAAAAAUAAUUUGUAGUCAUUUGUUGGAGCUGGUCAGGAUCCCGAAUCUAUUGUUGAUGGUUAUCUCGCAAUACUGAAAUAUGAUUACGUUGUCAUCUUUGGAGAGUAGUGGCAUGAAAAAAUCUAGUAUUGUGAUCUCCCCACCUUAACCAAUUUAUCCGAGAACGCAUCGCCCAAUAUUGCUCUUCCCUCUACCAUACUUUGUGAAGUUCUGCUUUUAAAAGUUGUUGCUGUGCCUAAUUUAGAGAGGUAGGGUAUUGGUUAGUCAGCAUUUCUAACUGGUGCUCCAAUUGUGUUGCCUGUUGUCUGUUGUGGGAGAACCUCUUACGACUCCAAAUGGAUAAAUCAAUAGCAACCGCAUGUAGUUUUGCUGAUAGAGGAGAGUCCUUUCUUGAACCGGAUUGCCAAGAGGUUUGAAUGACUGAGCGACAAUUAGGAUCCUGAUUCCAGAAGACUUCAAAGGUAAAAUGUCUUUUUCUUCGAACCAUGCAAGGUUUUGUAUUUAAAACAAGUGGACUAUGGUCUGAUCCUACUGCAGGGAGUGCAAUCACCUGAGCAUUUGGGAACAUAACGCGCCAGUCAGCAGUGCAGACAGCUUGAUCAAGACGUUCCUUUACCAAUGCAUCCCCAUCUCGAUUGUUGGACCAAGUGAAUGCGCAGCCAUGAGAAGGAAGAUCCAGCAAGUUGCAAUCAUUGAGAACCUCUUGAAAAGAAGAAAAGCGAUAAGAGUUAGCAGGUCGAGAUCCCAUUUUCUCCCAACGGUGAAGAAUUUCAUUAAAAUCACCACGGCAAACCCAAGGUAAAGCAUUGGAUCUGCUAUUCUGUCUCAAAGUCUGCCAAAGAUACUAACGAUCUUGAUAAACUGCAGGAGCAUGAAGACAAGUAAUCCUCAUGGACCUUCCUUCCGAAAUGUCCUAGUUGAUGAAAUCAAAAUAAUGCUGAGAGGAGGUGAAAUCAGUCAACUGAAAGCCAUCAUUCCAAAAAAGGGCCAAGCCACCCGCAGAGCCAACAGGGCUGAAUACUCGAAGAUGCAAAAAACGCAAGGUACGUUUCAAACGAAAUAAAACAUCAUCACCAUUCUUUGUUUCCAUCAAAAACAACAAGUAUUAUGGGAUACCGGUUUUAGAUUUUUCUUUUUUUUAGACGAAAAUUAUUUACUUCGAUUCUAUGUUAGACUUUUGGACUCGCUUGCAAAAACGGAAAAAAAUAAAAAUAAAAAGAAGAAGAAGAAGACGGAGAUGACAUUAAAACUAUGGGUAGGGAAGGGAUAACCCCACGUUAAGAAAAAUGGAACUAAGUAGCAGGCGGUAUUAUUGCGAUGUCGAAGGGUACGAUGGGAACAUUUGACUAGGCCAAAGGAAAACGGAAUUUUCCAUUACUAAUAUAUGUUAAAAUGUCCAAUUCAAAAAUUUAAAUUUAUCCGUAGAGAAAAACCAUAUAUAUAUACUACGUAAGCUCUAUAAAUAAGUGAUAUGAGAUAUUUUAACAAUCCAUUUCACAUACACAUCGAAUUGAAAAUGGCACUUGAAAUUUAACAUGAAGCAUUAUAUGUGAAAUAAACUGAGAUAGAGCCUGAUUCUGUUAUCAUAUUAGAAUGUCUAAACAAAAGUUAAAAUUUAUCAUUGAGAUGGAUUACGUGUAAAUAAAAAACAUAUUAAUCAUGUAGAUAAGCAACGGGGCAAUGCAUAAUGUACACUGAACACUCUUUCUGCAAAAUUUUCAGCUUACUAAUUUGUAUACUCGCUCAUGACUUAAAAUCGACCAACGAAAUAGCUCAAUGGGCAAAAUUUAAGAAAACGACAUAGCUUGCUAUCAAGUCUCAUCCACCAGUAGGUUCAUUAUAUAGCUCUUCUGAACAUGUACAUUUUAAUAUACAGAAAUACAGUUGAAUAGCUAAUAAUUGUGUGAUUUUGAAGAUCUGCUUAUGACAUGAUCAAGUGAAAAAAAAAAAAAAAUUAUCAACUGUCGUAGUAGUACCAAAGAAGAUGGUUAAUAAAACUGACAAAUGAUGGUAAUUUUUCAAUUUCUCAGUCAAAAUUUGAGAUCUUAAUUCCUUACGGCUGUCUAAUCAUAUUGUCACGCCUUGAAUUUAUUUAGAUACUAAUUCAAGAGUUGAGUAUCAUAGCACUAGCUAUCUCCUACGUUAUAAUUAGCUCUAAACAUUAAGGGCAUGUUUGUUUUUAUUCUUUUUUUAUGUUUUCGAACAAAUUUUUUGUUUUUCUGUUCCAGGGAACAAAAAAAGAACAGAAACAUAUUUGUUUGCGUUUUUGUUCCAAAUCUAUUUUUUUGUUCCCAGGAACACAUUUGAAACAAAAAUGGGAACAAUUUUUAAAAACAAAUUUUCUCUCUCCUCUCUUUUUCUUCUUUUUUUUUUCUUCUUUGGCUGGUCACUGGCCUCGGCCAUGGCCAGCGAUCAGCCGUCAAGGGCCAACGACGCUGUCAAGGGCCGGCGACCUCGUCGGAGCGUCAUCAGCCCCCAAUGAGGCCGAGCAUCGCCGGCCCCUCGGCCUCGCCUUGGCUGGGCGAGCUCGCCUAGAUCCAAUGAGCCUGAGCUCGCCUAGCCACCGACGAGGCUCGACGACCUGGCGGUGGCCCAGUGAGGCCGAGCCUCGUUGGUGAGUGGGCAAGCUCAGGCUCGCCCAGAUCUAGCAAGCCCAAGCUCGCCCAACCAAGGCCAGGCCGAGGCUUGCCCAACCACGGCGAGCCUCACCGUCGCUAGGCGAGGUUGCCAGCCCUCGUCAGCCGAUCGCCGGCCAUGGCCGAGGCCGGCGACCGGCCAAAAGAAGAAAAAAAGAAAAAAUAAAGAAAAUAAAAAUAAAAAUAUUUAAAAAUUAAAAGAAACAAAAAAUGAAUACAAAUUUACUAAACGUGUUUCUGUUCAUUUUUUAUUCUCGGAACAAGUUUACCAAACAUUUUCUUCUGUUCAAAAAUUAUUCCCCGGAGCAGAAAUAAUUUUUUCUAUUUCUGUUCUCUGAAACAAUUUUUGAACAGAAACGUUACCAAACGCGCUCUAAUUCUCCAUAUAAAUCAACCGUGGAUCGAUAUCAUUCAUCAUUCGCUAACUUUUUGUACACCCAUUCCUCGUCAUGGGCCAUGUAGCAUAGAAAGUUUAGCAUCCCUUUUUUCCCCUUCUUUUGGCACAUGCUUCGUAUAUUUUUUUUAGUUCACCCGAGUACAAACAAAAGAUUAAGCACCUCCUAUAAAAAGGAAGAAAUUCCCUCGUCUUGGGCUCCAUAGAAAGCUCACGGAGUAACACGAGAUCCUUUCAAGACCGAUUAAAUACUACUCUACGUACGCUUUUGCAGCUCUCAUGUCCCUAUCACAACAUAUUUGCUGACUUCUAUCGUUACUCAACCAAAUAAAGCAAAUUCGAAUAGAUGAUGAUGAUGAUAACGAUGAUGAUGAUGAUCACGAUGACAGCGACCAUGAUGGUAAUAGUAAAAAAUUAUAAUUAGGCUAAUUAUGAUCUGAUCGGUUACAGAUCAGGAAACAAUGAGACCUAUAUCAAGUCUCACUAAUUGGACACCAAAAAGUGCACCCAAAAAAAAAAAAAAAUUAAAGAGUGUAUAGCACGUUCUUCAAGCUCUCGAGCACCAGUCUUGCCUCGUCUAUUCGAUUCCUACUUCGGCUAUAUUCAAGCUCUUCCUUAUGUCGUCUAUUCGAUUCCCACUUCGGCUCAAAAGCAUGCACCUUCACAACUCAAUCCUUCGGCUGCUCUCACCCGAUUCCAAUCUUGUGGUGUCGAACCCGGUCGGAGCUUGGCACCGUCCCUGAUGACCCGCCGCUGACGAACCUCCGUCCUUCCUUCUCCUUGAACUCGAGCUGCUCUCGAGCGCAGCACUGGCCUUGACGGCGAGCGAGCAGAGCUCUUGGAGAGAGAGAGGGGCUCGCGACAUGGAGAGAGGCAAGAGGAAAUAGAGUUGGCCCAGACGUAGGUCUUCUUUUUCCUGAAUCUGAGGGACUAUGGAGUCGAUGAACAUGG
rnacentral:lncRNA from 1 species